ACCCCCAUAUGCAAACUAUUUCUUCUUUGGAUUAUGGGGAAUUUUUCUUUCGGUUCUUUGAUCUACAUUUCGGGAGGCAGCAACGCUAGCUAUUACAUCAUUACCAGCAAUGAGUAAAGCACUCAAACCCAUUAGCUUCAACCCGAGGUUUUUUGUCAAAUAUAACAACCUAUUUUCAUCUCCUCCAUUGAUUUCCUGCAUUUGAUCCAUCUGUUCAAGGGAUAAAAUAGUGUAAAUCUCCUUGUAACUUUCGUCAAUACCACCAAAAGUGAAUUUCAUAAUCGCCUUCGAUUGUGAAUCAUCUUGUAAAGGAUCACAUAUGAAAGCAAAAUUUCCAAUUUCCAAAUUAGGCCGCUUGAAUAAAUUAACCAGGAUACCGUUGUUGUGUGCUAUAUUCUUAGACAAGGACUUCUUAGGACAAGGCUGCUGAACAGGGUUUAACUGGUAAAUGCGAGAAGCUUCUCUUAAUCCACUCAUGAAAGCACCAUGCAUAGUGGCUGGAUAUUGCCUAGAAGUGGCCUCACCUGCAAAGAACAGUCGGUUUCCCACGUUUUCUGCAAGGAUAUCAUAAUCGUUACCAGAUGAUUGCACACUGACAUGAGUAUGAACCAUGAGAAUAUCAAGCAGCUGGGACAUCACCUCUCUAGCCUUUCUUAGACCUUUAACUUGAAAAAAUGGUCAUUGCACCAAUCACCUCUGUAAUCAUGUUGUUUCCAUUGCUGAUAGACAUUGUAAAGGGUUAAAUGAUCAGAUUCUGGCACAAAAAAUCUUUCGCGUGCAGCAUCACUCUCCUCUGCUCGGUCCUUUGGCCUAAAGAAAACAGAUGGUACUGAAAGCAUGGAAACUAUGGUCAGAACCUCCUCAAGACACCCGAAAUGCUCACCCAUCAAAAGCAUCUUGGCAAGUGGANNNNNNNNNNNNNNNNNNNNNNNNNNNNNNNNNNNNNNNNNNNNNNNNNNNNNNNNNNNNNNNNNNNNNNNNNNNNNNNNNNNNNNNNNNNNNNNNNNNNAAGCUUCUUUUACCAAAGAAUAUGCAAAUCGAAAAGAAGGAAAGGCAGUACAAUCAGAGUUCAAAAUUUAGCUUAUUGCAUUACAAGCAUUAAACUUGACAUGGAAGUAAACCUAUGAAGAGUUGUGAGGAGCCGAAGCGUCGGCAUACAGAAUAAGAGAGGGAUGCAUACUAAAUAUGUAGACAAAAAAAAGGGCAAGAAGCCAAGGAACAUAUUAUUUUUAUCAUGCUCUAAGAUCAUAUGUGAAAUUGAUGAUAUACCUUUGUAAUUCAUGUCAAAAUGUUUCCCUACUUGAAAUUAUAUUAAAUUUAAUUAAAGAAAAAACAAGGGUACAAAGUGUAACUCUUACGUAAAAUCUUUAACCUUAUAUUACUUCUUGAAAAUAUAUCAAUUUAACUCCAAAGUUGUAUUAAAAUGUAAGAACACAAGGUUUUAGUUUUUAAAUUUUACCAGGUUACCCAUUUCUUUGAUAAUAAUGAUUCAACAUUUUUAAAGAUUAUCACAAAAAGAGUAUGUCUAUAGUUUACUAACCACAUGUAUUUGUAGUAACAUGCAGUUAGCAACAAAGUAAAUUUACUAGCAUACUACAAUUUGAUUAUUUUAUUUUAAUUAGAAUAAAAAACCACACACAAAUAAUAUGAAAACAAUUUAUGACAUAUAAGCGUCUAUCCUAUAAGCGCUUAAUUAAGAUGUUAAUCCAAAUCUAAUCAACUCCAAAGCAUGAUAUGCUUUGCAAACAAACUUCGGAAAUUUGUGACUUACCUGAAAUUUAUUUCCAAAGCAUAUCAGCUUGAAUGAGAAGUCGCAAAUUUCUAUUACAAUUUCAUGAAGAAUUAUAAAAACGUAAGCUAAAAGAGUGUGUUGUUAGGCGAUUAUUGCAUAUCACCUUUGUGGCCAUAACAUUGAUGAAAAGAGUUGGACUGCUAACCUCUUUGAGUUCAGUUCCUGAAGUGGUUCUCCUUCAGGGUCACAGACUUGAUAUCUAAAAGCUUCAUUCCAUUUUCCAGUUAUUAGAAUCUUCAGUUCUUCAGAUGAAUUAUACACACGUCCCAUCCUCUUCAUAUCGGCCAGCUCUGCAAAAUGUGAAUUUCUUUUAACUUUAAGUUACUAAAGAAGUAUGAAACUAAAAGUUCACAUAUGGAGCAAGUAAUUGUACUUGGGAGACAAAUAUGCAAAAUGAUUGCAUUACAUUAGGGAUAUAAAAAUAACAUUAUUUAUAGCAAAAAAAAAACUUAUAUAUGAACACUUGCAUAGCCACAAGUAAACUAAAAGAAAUGUGAUGCAUAAAUAAGAAGUUACUGGCUGCUACAGUAUGGACUUUGGAAUCCAUCCAGUAAAUAUACUGUAGGUUACAGGUGAAGUGAGUGUAUGCUAUAGAAAUAAGCGAUAAUUUAGGAGAAAGUAGUCAUACCCAAACCAGCCACACGGUAGCCACACGGUUGAAAUUAAAGCACGACUUUGUCCCCCGUAGUCAUAUUUGUCAGGACCAUCUCCCCCAGUGAAUCAAUCCAAGUUCAACCAAAAAUCAAGUUGCUAACUUUUGUAGGUGGAAGCACCAAAUCAAGCGUCACACCAUCUCUUUUGAGUGUAACACGUGUCCUGCAUCCAGAUAAGUGGUAGCGCGUUUAUAUAGGCAUACAGCAACUUCAAAAAUGCAUACUACGUAAAUGAAUUUGCGUAGAUAUCCAACAUUACAAAAAAAACUACCAAUUAAAUUGAAGUAAAACAUACGGAACCUCCUUCACCGUAUAAUACAUAGUUUAGAAAUCCUUCUAAGGUAUAUUUCUUUGUGGGUUUGUUUUCUUUUUUAAAAUAAAUCUUUAAUUAAACAUUGUUGCAAAUUAAAAGCAUAAACGUUUAUGAUCUUAAUUCUACAUCUACAAUAACAUAGAAGUUCUCAAGAAGAGAUUAAACCUGAAAGGACAAAUGAUCGUACGAAAAAUAAUAGUAGGCCAAACUGCACAAGUUGGCUUCAAAAGUUUCAAGGCUUUGUGAACAUGAUCAAUCAUUUUUCUGCUUCUCAUCUGAAGCUUUGCGAACAUGAUCAGUCAUUUUUCUGCUUCUCAUCUAAAGCAUUCCAUUCAAAUAGCCUUAAAUUAAAUGUUAACCUACAAAUAAGAGAUUUGUAAAAUUUAUAUUUAUUAAUGUGCAAAUUAACUAGAACCAUAACUAAAUCUUCUAACAAAUCAUAAAUAUUAAAAUUUAGAGAAAUUUUUUUUUUUCCAGUGGAAAUCGUGUUGGCAAGUUUCAUGUAUCAAGAAUGUGAUUGGUAAUUACUAUAACAAUUAUAGGCAUUAAAAGAAUUACAAGUGUCUCAAAUAAUUUAUCUGGGAACCACGGAACAUUAAACUAAGAACAAGAAUACAAGUCAAAAUCACUGCAAGACAUAAACAAGACUAACAAAAAAAUUAAGAAUUCAACCACAAAUCUCACCAACAAGCCAAACUCUUCGCAAUCAACUAAUUAAGAGAGGAUGAUCUAGAAUGUGCUUUAAUUGAAAGAUGUUCAUUAUGGCACAUACAAACAUCACCAAAGUGAAUAACAACUUCAACCUAUUCCCAUUGAUUAAAGCAGAUGAAAUAAUUGUUUGAGGCUUUUGCAAACGUUGAAAUUUGCCGCAGAAAAGGGCAUUGUUAGGACUAAAUCUAAAUUAUAGAAAUCAUAAGAUUACUAAAAACAUGGUUGAAACCCUCCCAACGUAACUUCUAAAUUAUGGAUAUCAAAUGUGUAAUGCAAAUUAAAUAUGAAUAUCACUUAUUUUUUAUUGAAUGGUGUUUAGAAAACGUUACAGGUUGAAACCCUCCCAACCAAACUUCUCAAGAACUGAAAUCACUUAUUCUUAUUUCUGGCAAUAUGUAAUGCAAUCUCUAUCACUUAUUUAGUCCAUUCAAAUAAAUAUGAAUAUCACUUAUUUCUAAAUUAUAGUUUCCCCUUCUAAAACAAAUGCAAAAAUUUGACACAUUCACUACUAAGUAAUUUAAAAUCAUGUAGCUAAAUUAAAUUCAUUACAAAUUUUCAUAGCCUCAUCAAACAAGCAUAUUUAGUAAGAAUUACACAUUGUGUGUUCUAAACAAGUCUUCCCUAAACUCAAUUGCAGCAAUUUCAUUCAUAUCUCAGCAGCAAAAGAAGAGAAGGUUGUGGGUUCCUCACCGGAGUUUACCUCUCCAUACUGCUAUGCUAAACUCUCACAUCUAUAAAGAAGAGAAUAGCAAAACAGAAGUUUAUGUGUUUUCUGCAGAGAAGAAGAGCAAAAGAUAAGUUUCAAGGAGAACACCCAUUUUUCAAUCUCCUCUUUUUGUGAUUCUAUUUGGAUGAAAAGAUAGAAAAGGUUGAGAAGAUAAAGAUGGUAGGUUUCUUUUGCCCAAAUGUGGCCGACCGCGGCGGUGAUUGUGGGGAAAAGAGUUGCCGGCGGCGGUUGAGGGAGAAGAGAAGGGAUAAGCUUAAGUUUAGGGUUUCAGAAUGAGGGAAAGAGGAGAGAGGCGCGGGUUUGAUUAGAGAGAUUGGGCUUAGCCCAAUUCUGAUUAGUGUAUGCAGAGUGUAUGCUGAAAAUAGUGGUGUAAAUAGUCAUAUGUUCCACAUUGUUUUUCAUUUAAGUUAAACAUAAAACAAUUUCUAAUCUUUUUUUAAUAGAUAACAAUUUAUUAUCUAGAAUUUAUAUCAUAUAAUUUUUAAAAUAUCUACACGCUCAAAUAUAUCUCCAUGAAUUCAUUUAAAAAAAAUUCUAAUUCAAAAAAAUUAAAAUAUUUUAAUGCUAAUUAUUAUGGUUAAACCUCAGUUAUAUAUUGGAUUUAAUUUUUUUUUUUUGAAGGACCAGAUUUAAAUAAUUAUAUUGUUUCAUUAUACACAUCACAUAUCGCUCCUAUACUAUUUUUUUAUAUAUAAAAAUAAUUUUUUUAAUAAGCAAAUUUGAAUUUGUAAUGCCAUACCUAAAAACAAUUACUUAUUUGAGUUAUUUCUAUUGUUUUUUUAAGGAGCUUAUUUAUAUUGUUUUACAUUGUUAAUAAUGAUAAGAAAAAAAUAUGUUGAAUGGUGGUGAGAUGAUUGAGUUUUUUUGUUGUUGUUAAGAAACCAACAAGAUAGUCCACUUCGGUGUAAGCACACGAGUACCAGUUGGAUGCUUAAAUGUUGUUUGUACCUAAUAUGAUUACAUAUACGCACCCGUGUAGAGCACUUCGUUGUAUUUAGCGUGUUUGAUCUAAGAGCUUGAAUCGUUAAUAAAUAAUAUUAUGCAUGUGAUGUUGUAAUGAAGUUUCAAAUAUAUUAUAUUUAACAGGUUUUUAAUUUACUGUGCUCAUCAUUUCUUGUGGAUUAUUGUUUUUAUGUUUCUCAUAUGAUAUAUUGUUUCUGCAUUGGUGUUGUCAUAUGCUUAUUAUUGACCCGUGCGAGAGCGCGGGUCGGCCGACUAGUUCUGUUUGGAAAGCAUAGCGACAUAAGUGAAGAUGACCUAUUAGGGUUAUCACUACUUAGGGUUAUCACUAUGGGCUUGGGUUGUUUUGUGUUUUUUCUUCUUAAUAACCUAUUAUUACUUUUGUACUUUGUGGUGGUUAAAUGUUAUGUUUUUAUUUAAUUUCUUUAGUGCAUCAUUUUUGUUUUCUAAGUAGUUAUAUAUUAAUUCCUUAAAAAAAGUAGUUAUAUAUUAAUAAUUAUCUUCCCUUUGACAUUAUCUACAACGAAAAUUUGAAUUUUUUAAAAGGAAUAUGAAAAGAAAAAUUAGAAAAUUGAAAUUUGCUAAGGAAUUUGGAAAAGUUAUAACUUUUAGAGAUCGAGUCAUCCGGUUCAAUUUGAUUUAACACAUAUACAUAUUUUAUAUAAAGAUCGAGUUAACUGACCGAGUCAUCCGAUUCUUUCCGAUUCAGUCAUACUGUUCAACCAGUGACCCAAUGGUUCAACCAAUGACCUAGUGACCCAGUGACCUUACCGAAUCGAUGACCAAGCCGGUUUUUAAAACUAUGUGUAAGACCAUCCACAAUGCAGCACUUGUUUAAACGGGUCCCGCUGUACACGUCAUUCAUUUUAUAAUUAAUAUUUGAUAAGCACUAAAUCUCUCCAAUCAAGCACCUCAAAAUAAUUAUUAAUUGAGUCCAUGCAAUAAAGCUCUUUUGGUAACACUUUUUCACCAUGAGCUUAUAGCUUAUUUCACGAGCUUAUAAGCUACUUUUCAGAAGCUAUUCCAAGUAGCGUUUGAGCUUAUAGCUUAUAGCUUCUCACUUUUUCUUCCAAUUUUACCCUUAUUAUUUCAUUUAAAUUGUAUUUUUAUCCAUUAUAAUUUUUAUAAUAAGCUACGUAAUAAAGACUACUAUCCCUUUAUUCUAAUUUUUGUAUAUAUAUCAGCUGACCUUUUUUUUUUUUGAAAAAAUAUAUAACUUCACUUUUUUUUUUACGAAACAAAAUACUAUUAUUCUAUUAGUGUUACUUUUAUUUUUAUUUUUUUUAAGUAAGUGUUAUUUUCUUUAUUCUCUGUUAUUAGUAUUACUUUAUUAGUGCUACAUUUUUUUUUUGUUUUUGAGGUAAAUGUUAUUUUCUUUAUAAAGUAGAAACACUUAAAUGAUAAUAAAUAUAAGAUAAUAUUUUAGUGAAUAAAAUUUAAUUUAAUAUAUAAUACAUAGGAUAUAUUAAAUUAAUAAAUUUAAAAAAAAAUUUUAAAGAAAAAUUAGUUUACAAAAUUACAAAUACUUAAAUUAAUGAUAUAAUUUUUUAUUAUGAAUUAAGAAUACCCUUUAUGUCAUUUUACAUUUAACAGCUAGUGGAACCGCUAUUUUUACCAAACACUUAAAUUAGCUUAUCGGCUAAAAGCUAUCAGCUAGCCGCAACAGAGCCUAACUCUAUAUCAUUAAAUUUUUUACAAUAAUUUAUAUAUUCAUUCAUAAUUAUAUAAUUUUAAAAUAUUGAAAUAAUUUAAUUAUAAAUUAUAAAAAAAAGUUAAAAUUUGAAAAAAUAAUAUAAAAUAAACGAUGGUAAAUUAUUUGUUGUUUUGCUUAAAUCCAAUCAUUGUAGGUUUGUUUUGUUUUUUUCUCCAUUGAGAUAGGUAAAUUAUUUGUUGUUUUAAAAAAAAAAAUUGGUUGAAAAUUUAAUGUUGAUCAAUUAAAUAUUACUCUUGCAACUAAUAUAUAAUUUACUUUUUCUUGUAGAAAAAAUAUAAUUUACUUUUUAAUAUUAAAAUAAUACAACAAUUGAAUAAAGAAAAAAUAUAUAAUUGAUUGCACAUGUGGGACCCAUGAGUAAUAGGAGAGAGAGGGUGUCUAUAAAAGCACUCAUCUCUAUAAGCACCGUAUUAAUUAAUGUCACAAUGGAGUGCCUAUUUAGUAUGGUGCUAAAUAGGGGAAGGACUCCCAAUUGUAGAUAGUCUAAUGAUUUUUUUUUUUUAAAUAUUGAAAUAUAAUUUUAGUUAUAAUUAAAUAAUGAAAUUUAAAAAUUUGAUCCAAUGGUAAAAAGGAGUUAUCUUUGUGGUGUGCAGAACUUAUAUGAGCCAACAUGGAUUUAAGCUAGCGUACCAUUUGAUCCGGCUUUUUUCCAACUUCUCUACAUUUUUAAGGAGAAGUUAGGCCAAACACUAUUGGAACAAAAUGUGUUUAGCAAUAACUCUUAAGAGUUUUGAUGAUAAAAAAAUAUUUAAAAUUGUCAAUUGGAUAUGCUAAUAUUUGUUCAAGCGUACAAGACUAUAGACAAAAAUUUGACAUCUUAAAAAGGUCUUGGAUGAACAAAUAAAGAGCAAAUACAUCAACAAAAAAAGGAAAGCUUAAAGCGUCUGAAGAAAACUGCUCCUGAAGUGUGAAGUGCUCCUGAAGACAAAGUGCUCAGGAAGUGAUGACGUCAUCAGAAGCAAGGUCAUCAUAAGCAAGUUCAUCAGAAGUUGUGUAUCACCAGAAGUUGCAGUUCAUCAGGAGAUGGAACUUAAAGCUUCAAAAGUUGUUUCAAGGACUCUAACUCGCCUAGAAAUUGCAGAAGACUGGAAAAGUAUGACAACGACUAUUUUGAAAUGCAUUGGAUGCUUAUUCUUCAAAGAGCGUUGACAUAAUACGUUUGUACGAAGUGUACAACCACUAUCUCCACUACUCUGUUUUUGUCUCUGCUACAAGACAAGAAUAACAGCUCUGCCUCCAACAAUGUUUCUUCACAUUGGGAACACAUUUGAAAUUGAUCCUUCAUAGGAUAAUAACCAUAUCAGGCAAAGGAUCAUUGGUGAUUGAUCAAAAACUUCAAACGAUUCUAUUUUGAAUGUGCUGGCAAUUCAACGUCUCUUUUACACCUCUAUAUAAAGGAGUGAAGAUUCAGAGUUUCACACGAACAAUACAACGCAUCAGCUAAGCCAAAACUCUGUUGAAAUUGUUCUCCACGUCAAAGUUCACUUAGAAUUUCUUAACAAAGCUUAUAUCUUAGGAAUUCUAGAGUCUUUAGAGUCUGUAUCUGAUUUGUAUUGUGAACACCACUGAUUGUAUAUCAAGUGUUCAACCUCAAACAUUUUUCUUUGUAAUUCUGUUUGAAUUCAGAAGUCUCUUGCAUUUGUGCUUGAGCAAUAGAAGUCUCUUGCAGCUUGAGCACAGCUGCAAGAGACUUCUAUUGCUCAAACAGAAUUCAAACUUCAGGAGCAGUUUUCUUCAGACGCUUUAAGCUUCCCUUUUUGUUGAUGUACUUGCUCUUUAUUUGUUAUUCCAAGACCAUUUUAAGAUGUCAAAUUUUUUCCUAUAGUCCUGUACACUUGAACAAAUAUUAGCAUAUCCAAUUGACAAUCCAAUUUUUAAUACUUUUUUUAUCAUCAAAACUCUUAAGAGUUAUUGCUAAACACAUUUUGUUCCAACAGUAUUCCCCUUGGAACUUCAACUCUUUAUUGCUAAAAAGAUUGCUGCUUCGAGCAGUAGAGGGUUGUUGUCCUUUAGGGAAUCGGCAACACUUCAUCGCCAACUAUCUGAGGAUGCAGAGGUGCUCAGGGCUGUUUUCGCUGAUUGUUUACAUCUUCUCACCAUCUCUUCACCGAACUUAGGUCAGAAGAAGUUUAUCAACAACUCACCCUUAGCGACCAUGCGCUUUUCUUUGUUCGAGCGGCCCAGAUGCUCCAUCAGCCUCAUCUCAGCUUGCCCAUGAUUCUAUUUGUAACACCCCGUUUUCCCAACAUAAAAAUUUCAUAAACAUUUAUCAGAAUAAACAACAUAUAACGGAAUGUCACACUUCUUUUCUUAAAAUCAUAAACUGAAUAAAUAACUAUUUAUCCUUUAAAAUUCAAUAACAAAAUCUUUAAUACUUCGCAGCGGAAUUUAUUCAAUAACUAAACAGCCUUUGGCACGAAGGCCCCUUCAUAAAUAUCUCAUAAAAAUCCAAUCUAAAAACAUAGUCAUAAAUCUUCAGAAACAAUACGUAAGGAAUAGAAAAGAAAUAACAAAAGAUCUCAUCCCGUUACGUAUCAGAGCACCUAAGACACACGAGAGAGAAAGCUCACACGACAUCAUCUAUUCUUGGUUACCUGCAAGUUACUCAUACGAAGAGCAACAUUUCCAAGCAGAAGGGGUGAGAUUUCACAUAACAAUAAUAUCAAGCAUAUAAUUCAAUAAUUAUAUUUAACAACAUAAAUAACUUCAUCUAUUAGUAAUAAUAAUUCUUCAUGUAAUAAUUCUUAAUAGUUCAACCAACUUCAAAUCAUCAUUUCAUAAUAACAUAACAACACAACUUAAUCAUCACUUAAUAAUAAUAAUCAUAUACAACAUGACAUAAUUGUCAUACCCCAAAUUUUGACCUAAGGUCCCACUGACACACGUCUCCGAACUCGGAUCAGACUCACAUUUCAGUGAAAAAUUCGGCAGGGAGAUAUUUUGAAAUACCUCAUAAAGUUCCGAAUCGGGCCCUCUUCUCUCAGUCUUUAAUUAUUUAUUUCCAUCUUUUAUUUCUUUUUUUUUAAAUCGUUUAAUUUUUAUUUUGUUUUAGUCUUUAUCUAUUUAAUUAAUUAUUUAAUUUUUUGUUUAGAUAAGUCCAAAAGAAGUCUGCAUUUAUUUUUAUUUUUGUUUUUCUCAUUUAUCACUUUAUUCCUUUGUUAAUAUCCAUAAAAAAUCCAAAAAAAGGUCCAGGUUCAGAAUAACAGUCUGUCACGCGUUUCAUCUCAACCCAAACACAGGAACAGAUUGCUGUCUCGGCUCCUUUCCAAUCCAAAUCCAAUCACAUAUUUUUUGCUUUUUCUCAACAAACCCUAGCCUCAAACCACACUAUAAAUAGAACCUGCAAAACAACCAAAAAAACAACAGCAGAGAAGCCAAGACAACAACAACAGCGGGACACGAGAGACAGAGGAAAUACAACAGAAGGGGAAGGAGUAGACACACAACAGCACACACACACGCACAACAGCACACACACGGACAACAGCACACACACGGGAGACAGCAACACACAGGGACAUCCAUACCCAAAUCCGAAUCAAAAUCCGAAUCAAAAGCUCAACAAAAGGUAGUAUUACUUCUCCUUUAGAUCUAGGUCUCUGGGUGUGUGUUAUAGAAAAUCUAGGUUUAGAAUCGUGUAGAGGGGAAGAAAGCAAGUAGAAAGAACCAAAAAAAUCAAAAAAAUAAGUUGUUAGGGUUCCGGCGCGGUGGCGCCGCCGCACUGGCCGGCCAACCACCGCCGGAACCCCCAUCCUUCCCGUCGGAGACGGAAGAGAGAGAAGGAGGGAGAAGAAAUGAGAGAAUUUAGGGUUUACAACCCUUAUAUACUCUUCAAACCGGUUCGACCCAUGACCCAGGAUCCACGACCCGCUUCGGUUCCUUAAGCCCAGUUCCUUUUUCUGCUUUCUACACACCCCUGUUUACCACUGCACCCCCACCUUGUGUUUGGACUUUUUUAUUUUUAUUUUUUCCUUAUUCGUAUUUAUUUUUUUUUUUUAGCAUUUUAAUUUUUAUUGCAGACCUUAGAAUGUAAAUAGGCUUUUUAUGUAAUAGUCGUAGAUUUCAUAUUUCUAACUUAGGGUAGCCGCGUUUUUACCUUCCUGCUCCGUUAGUUUUAAUUUUAGUUAUUAUUAAAAAAAAACAACAAAAACAUGCAAAUAAUCAAAAAUCACAAAAAUAUUUUCAUAAACAAACCUUGAUCCUAAAUCAAGUGGUCGUCAUUUUUAUUUUAUUUCUUUAAUCAAACAUUAAUCAAAUUUAAUUUUAUCCUAAGUCUAUUUUCUUUAAUUUAAAAAAUACAAACAAACUUAUUUGCCAUUUGGCUUUUUCCUUUAAAAUCUUUUUUUCAAAACUAAUAAAAAAACACAAAACCAAUCAAACGUUGUUUUCUACCCCGAACUACGAGGUUUUGAUCCCCCACGGGUACGUAGGCAGAGGACCAUGUCCUUCCAAAUCAAUAAAAAAUGUAGAUAUUUAGGUCUUUAUUUUCCACUUUAAUUCCUUCUUUUCAAAAUAAGCAAGCAAGUUAUAGCACAAAAAUUAAAUAAAAUCCAAGAGGUUCCCGUAGAGUACUACGGACAUAAAGGGUGCUAGUACCUUCCCUUUAUGUAACUAACCCCCGAACCCAAAAUCUUUUCAAUAUGGGGUUGUUUGAACUUUUUCCCCCUUUUCAUAAUAAAAUUAAAUGUUCAGUCGUGAAAUAAUUAGUGAGUCAAAAGCUAAUCAAAUAGCCUUGAUCUCCAAAAAAUGACGCGACAGAAAUGGCGACUUCACUGGGGACCCCCUAAGAGGGUUGAGCCUAACUUGGCCUUAUUUAAUUCUCUAUGCUAUAACUUGCUUAAAAACAAAAAUAAAGAUGGAAAUAAUUGUAUAUAUCUUUUAUCUUCUCUUUUCUCUCUUUCUUCCCUUCUUCUUAAAUAUGAGUGGUGAGAUAAAGCCCUACACCCGGGCUUGAGAGAAACAUAAGAUAGGACGGUGGUAUAACCAAAGUGCCUUUCCGAGAGUCAAGUCUCGUGUUUAGGUUCAUGUGGUACAACCCCACUCAAUGGAGGGAUCUUGAAAGUAAUUUAUGUUGGCAUGAAUAGUCGUGUUGGCAUUAUAUUUUCAAGUGACCGUCGAAGUUGAGGACCUUUAGUUACCCUUAACCCAUCUUAGCCUUUUAGGACGUAGUGCGGUGGCUAAUCAAGAGUAGUCUUGAAUUAGUUGAUACGCGAUACUACAUUCAAAUGAAACUUUCCUACGCAUAUUAUUGGAUCAAGAGUAGUCUUGUAACCUGAUAACAUUCGGAGGUAGUUAAUGACUUUGGGAACUUGGUAGAACCCGAAAUACAGGUACAAAUGAAACCAUAGUCCUUACCAAAUGGCGUUGUUACCUUUAAGCUCCAUCAUUAUGGACCUAACAUCACCAUGCAUUCCAUGUUCUUUAGCAUAAUCAUGCAUACAUGCAUUCAUUCAUAAAAACUUUUUUUCUCUCAUUAAUAUCAAAGGACUUAGAUAAGUUCUUGUAAACAUCAAAGAUAUGGAUCUUGUAAGAAGGAACACCAAGAAAUACAAACUCAAAAACCUUAACUAAGCUUUAGCUUUUGUUAAGAACUUUUUUUCCUUGGUUUCGUUCUUACUUUUGAAAAGGGAACCAAUUGCAACAUUUUCACAAAUUGCAAAAAACAAUGUUCUUUAUCAAGUCUACAAUUACUUUGACAAGUCCUUCAAAAAACGUGUCUAAGCAUAUCAUACAUCAUUUUGCAUUCAUAAUUUCAAGUCUAAGUCUUACACUGUGUCUUUUCUGCUAAAGGUCAAUCCAUCUCAAAAGAGUCAUGGCAUCCUCGUCUGAAACCCACUCGCAUUUACAAGACUCGAACAAUCAUGAGGAAAAGAUGGAGUUCCUCGAACAAGAAAAUCAAUUGCUUCGCGAGGAAGUGGCAGUCAUGCGAACUAAGAUGGAUGAAAUGACUGAAUUGAUGAAAGCAUUGACGGCUGCACAUAAUCAGCCACCACCUCCUCCCCCUAUCAGCACUCAGGCCGAAGCAAUUGUCUCUAUUGCCCCUGAAUGGGCGAUACCUGUCAGUAUUCCACCAAAUUCUAUGCCAGAAAGUCGUCCUUGGGGUGUCCCUAUUUGUCUCAGUGAAGUAUUCCAGCCUAUUGCUUCUGAAACUCGGAUGCCUACUCAUCAAUAUACAGCUUGUGUUCCUCCGCCUCCUGUGAGAGCUCCUCUAGCUGCCAUGACUUCCAUCCCACAAAAUGAAGAACCCAUCUUCCAUUCAGGGAACAUGGAGCCCGAUGAUAGAGUGAAUGACUUGCGGGAAAAAUAUGAUGAAAUGCAUCGAGAAGUGAGGGCUCUCCUCGGGAAAGAAAAAUUUGGAAAGACCGCUUAUGAUUUUUGUUUGGUGCCGAAUGUCCAGAUACCUCACAAGUUCAAGAUUCCAGAUUUUGAGAAGUAUAAAGGGAACUCCUGCCCUGAGGAACAUCUGAAAAUGUAUGUAAGAAGGAUGUAUGCAUAUGCUCGGGACGAUCAGGUCCUAAUUUUCUACUUGCAAGAAAGCUUGACUGGCCCCGCCUCAAAAUGGUACACGAAUCUAGACAAAGAAAAAAUCCAAACUUUUCGGGAUCUAUGUGAAGCUUUUGUGGAACAAUACAGUUAUAAUGUGGAUAUGGCUCCAGACCGAAGCGAUCUUCAGGCAAUGACUCAGGGAGACAAGGAAACAUUCAAGGAGUAUGCCCAGCGAUGGAGGGAUACCGCUGCCCAAGUCAUCCCGCGUGUAGAAGAGAAAGAGAUGACCAAGCUCUUCUUAAAAACUCUCAAUCAGUUCUACUACAAGAAGAUGGUCGGAAGUACGCCCAAGAAUUUUGCUGAGAUGGUUGGUAUGGGUGUACAGUUGGAAGAAGGGGUCCGAGAAGGACGAUUGGUCAAUGAAAGUGUCCCCGCAGGCAGUUCAAAAAAGAAAGACCAAGAAGUGAAUAUGGCGAAAGGUCAUCCUCGACGACAGGCUCAUCCGCAAUUAAAUCCACCUCAUCAGGCUCAGAAAACACCGCAGUAUGAUCCGAUUCCUAUGAAAUAUGCGGAGCUGCUUCCUUCAUUGCUUGAAAGAAACCUUGUCCAGACCAGACCACCUCCGCCGAUACCUAAGAAAUUACCGGCUAGGUGGAGACCUGACCUCUUUUGUGCCUUCCAUCAAGGGGCACAAGGUCAUGACGUUGAGCAUUGUUUCUCCUUGAAGAUUGAAGUCCAGAAACUGGUUGACGAUGAUGUUUUGCCUUUCAAGAAUUUGAAUCCGAGCGUGUAACUGCAAUUGGGUUGAUGUUUAUGUCUUCUUCUGCUACUCGAUUUGUUUCUAGUGAUAUGUUUGUUUUUUUACUACCUUUUCAAAAAACAUCCUUUCGUCCCGCCCGAGAUGAAAGUGAACUGGUGUAGGGCUUUUUGCUUUAAGAAUUGUCAUCAUUUAUAAAAAAGGUCGUUUUGAUCCCGACUUUGCUUUUAUUUUGUGCUUUUUCUUGGAAAAUGGUAAUACAAAAAACCAAAAAAUCUUUCUUUAAUCAUUCUCAAAUAUCUGCAUAAUCAUAACUUAUACUUACUUGUCAAAAUCAAUAAUCAAAUCAUGCAUUAAUUUAAUAAACCCGUUGAACACAAUAACCAUGUACUCUCUACCAACUUUGAGUUCCUUGUAUCCGAAGCUGAAGAAGAGGAAAGUGAAGAGGCUCCCGAUGAGAUCUCUCGCAUACUGGGGCAUCAUAAGCCGUCAAAGCUACAAAAAAUCAUGAAGAUAGUUCAGAGGAUGGCAAUCGCUUACAAAGAUUAGCUCGAGAUGCUAUCAUUUUCUUUGCUCAGAUAUCCUGCUUCAGUACACAUUUCAACAGGGGCAUCCCCCCUCCUUCGCUCAAGUAUACAACAUGAAGGUCGUGCUUCUCGCGGAGGUCGAAGUCCCAACAAUAGGAGUUCUGCUGAAAUCCAAGUUUGAAAGAACUUAAAAUCACAAGAGGUUGAAACAAACUUCCAACAAUAAGGUUUGUCCCCGUGACUUUCAAGAAGAAGACUUUGUGCCCAAAAAGGUACUACAUUUCCAACUAGACUCCAGGGGCAAGUGGACGCCUAACCAUGAAGGCUCAUGUGCAAGGACUUUUACAACUAUGGAUGGUGACAAACUUGCACUUCCUAUGAAUGCCGGUACAGUCAAGAAAUACUCUGUCAAACAUAAAAGCUCGAUAAGUCGUAAACCUGAAAAGGUGGCUUAGGCAAAAAUGAGCGUCUCGGUGGACUAAAAACCCAAAAGGGCGGUCCAGGCAAAAGUUAGAGACAUGAACAAAAAUGAUUAUCCUGAUAGAUCGAAAACCCGAAAGGGCGAUCUAUGCAAAAGUUAAGGAUCAAAAGACAAAGUAAAUGCAUUCGGUCAGACAUAAUCCACUUGGGGCAUCUAGCUAUCAAAAGACCUCCGAUUCGAAGCAUCUGCAGAUCAAAGACUUGGAACAGGGGCAUUCAAAGUUAUUAGGGAGAAUAACGGUUUUUGUGUUCAAUGUACCCUUCCCAUUAUAUUUACCAUUUUCCAAAAAAAUUCAAAGAUCCUUGGAACCAUGCCAUUGGCAGGUCACCACUCAAUUCAUCAAAUUUGAGCCUGUGCCCAUUUAUUUGGAACUCUCAUUUAUUCUAUUUGCAUAAUUUCUUCUAUGUUUGAUAGCAAUACUUAAAGCAAAAGUUUCAAAAUACAAAAACUUUUUUUACAUCUUUUGAAAAGUGUGAACAACAAACACAUUCUCUUUGAACUCGUGAGUAGAUGGAGCAUACAUCAGCAUCCGUCUCGAGAACGAUUAUAUUCUGAAAGAGAAACAUGGCUAAGCAUUGUGGAGAGGACCUCUGUCUUGAGCAAAAUGCUGUCGCAGUCCAAAAAUAAAAAUACAAAAAAUAUAAAUGCAAAAAAAUCAAAGCUCGCUAAGUCGAAAACCUGAAAAGGCGACUUAGGCAAUAGAGAGCGCCCUGGUGGACUGAAAACCCGAAAGGGCGGUCCAGGCAAAAAUUAGGGGCAAAAAAAAAAAUAAUAAUAAAAAAAUUCCCGGUGGACUGAAAACCCGAAAGGGCGGUCCAGGCAAAAGUUAGGGAUUCUCAAAGAAAAUAGAACAGAAAAAGCACGACUACUGAAGCAUACCAAUGGAAAGACACUCUGUGCCGGUUCACAAAUGGCGACUUCUUCCAUAUCUUUUAUUAACAAUGGGCUUUACCCCCAAGAGGCAUCAGUUGCUACCCUGUGCCAGAUCUUACACCGUCAACGGCUCGAUUUGUUCACAAUAGUAUCAUCUCCAAGGAUGUUUGCCGAGUGUUUGUACUGCGAUGUUAGUCCACCUCCCAUCUUACCUGUCUUGUCUCGGUUCAUCGAGUCAUCUGGCAUAUACGGUCUAUAUAGUCAUGCAGUUAUACAGUCUAUACAGUCAUGUAGUCACACAUCCAUACAAUCAUACAAUCACGCAUUCAUCAAUCUUCUCACAUAUUCAUACGUUUAUACGUACAUAGCAUAUGCACAACAUCAAUUCACACAUAAUUGCAUCAAUCAUCCAGAAUUUCGUUUUGGUCGUGUCUCUUCAGUUCGGUCUUAACUUAUCGUUUUGUGAACCCGCAAGUUUCUAACAAAUGAACGUCUUGUUUUACUUUCUUUAUCAAAAGUGUCAUCCCCAGCGUAGCUGUUCCAGAGAUGUCACCAAUCAAACAUUUCAAGUGGCAAGUCCCAACCAACGGACAACUUGCAUCUCACUUUUACCUUAUUUCAAGUGGCAAGUCCCAACCAACGAACAGCUUGCAUUUAUCUCUUUACUUUAUGACAAGUGACAAGUUCCAACCAACGAACAGCUUGCAUUUAUCUCUUUACCUUAUAACAAGUCACCAAGUCCACCAGCGGAUGCUUGAGUUCACCCUUUUAUCUCGUUUCAAACUAUCAAAGUCCACCAACGGACCGCUUGAGGUUACCCUUUUAUCUUGUUUUUUCCAUUUGUCUUCGUACGACUAUCUUACGGAUAGUAGACAACGUCUGGUUUCGUCUUACCUUUUUACGACUACCAUACGAGUAGUAGGUAAUCUAUGUCAUUUGUCUUCCUACGACUAUCUUACAGAUAGUAGACAAUGUCUUGUUUCGUCUUACCUUCAUACGACUACCAUACGGGUAGUAGGUAAUCUAUGUCAUUUGUCUUCAUACGACUAUGUUACGGAUAGUAGACAAUGUCUUCUGUGUCUUACCUUCAUACGACUAUCUUACGGGUGGUAGGUAAUCUCAUUUAUUCGUCUUUAUACGGCUAUCUUACAGAUAGUGGACAAUGUUUUCUUUCAUCUUGCCUUCAUACAACUAUCAUACGGGUAGUAAGGUAAUACAACUCUUGUCUUCUUACAUCUACCAUACAGAUAGUAGACAACCUUUUUCCCCAGUAAAACUACAAUAUUCCCCUAGCAGAGUCGGAUCCCUUUCUCAAAGAAUUUGGAUAUCCGUUGUCAUUUCUCAUUCGAGUCAAAUUAUCUUGCAUUCAUCACAUCAACGCUUCCAUGCACUCAUACAACCACAAACUCAUAACAAUCAUGCAUUUACUGAUAAUCAUGUAUUCGUGCGUACACAACAUGUGCACGACAUCAAUUCAUACAUAAACUCAUCAAUCGAUUCGGUCAUGUCACUUCGGUUCAGUCUUAGUUUACCAUGGUGUCAAGCCGCAAGUUUCUACGAGUAAAGCGUCUUCCAUUUCAAAUUUCAAAGGUGUCAUGCCCGGUGAAAAACCGUGCUAGGUCAUGUCACUAAUCAACGUCAAUUUCAACUUUAGUUUCGAAGUGUCAUCCCCGGCGGAAAGCCGUACUAGUCAUGGCGCUAGUUAAUCUCGAUGUCAACUUCAACUUUAGGUAUCAUCCCCAGCAUAGCUGUUCCAGAGAUGUCACCAAUCCAACUUUUCGAGCAACUAGUUCCAACAAACGAACAACUAAUGUCAAUCUUUUAUCUUUAUGCCCAGCGACCGAUUCCAACAAACGAAUAGCCUAUGUUUUUUCUUUCGAGCAACUAGUUCCAACAAACGAACAACCCGUGUCAAUCUUUUAUCUUUAUGACCAGCGACCAGUUCCAACUAACGAACAGCCUGCAACAAGUGGCCAAUUUCAACCAACAAAUAACUUGUAUCCUUCUAUUAUUUCAUUUUCAAAACCAAGUCCACAAAUGGACAUUGGAGUCCGAACCAUUGCACUUUGUUUCGAGAUAUCGAGACGAUGAGGAACAACCAUUUUCCCCAGUGAAACCAGAUUCCCCAGUAAAGUCGGAUCCCUUUCUUCGAAGAAUUUGGGUAUCCCAGUGUCUUUUCAUUCCAGUCGAGCCGUCUUUGUCAUCAUGCAUUCAUAAUUAAAUCAUGAGCAUUCAUAAACAUCUUAGGUCAAAAUUGGUGCACUUUUUGUAUUUAAGUCUCUUCGGCUCGUCGAGUCAAAGAUUUUACCUUCGAAUCUCUGAGCGAAGAAACUUAAAUAGGGGCAUCUGUUAUACCCCAAAUUUUGACCUAAGGUCCCACUGACACACGUCUCCGAACUCGGAUCAGACUCACAUUUCAGUGAAAAAUUCGGCAGGGAGAUAUUUUGAAAUACCUCAUAAAUUUCCGAAUCGGGCCCUCUUCUCUCAGUCUUUAAUUAUUUAUUUCCAUCUUUUAUUUCUUUUUUUUUAAAUCGUUUAAUUUUUAUUUUGUUUUAGUCUUUAUCUAUUUAAUUAAUUAUUUAAUUUUUUGUUUAGAUAAGUCCAAAAGAAGUCUGCAUUUAUUUUUAUUUUUGUUUUUCUCAUUUAUCACUUUAUUCCUUUGUUAAUAUCCAUAAAAAAUCCAAAAAAAGGUCCAGGUUCAGAAUAACAGUCUGUCACGCGUUUCAUCUCAACCCAAACACAGGAACAGAUUGCUGUCUCGGCUCCUUUCCAAUCCAAAUCCAAUCACAUAUUUUUUGCUUUUUCUCAACAAACCCUAGCCUCAAACCACACUAUAAAUAGAACCUGCAAAACAACCAAAAAAACAACAGCAGAGAAGCCAAGACAACAACAACAGCGGGACACGAGAGACAGAGGAAAUACAACAGAAGGGGAAGGAGUAGACACACAACAGCACACACACACGCACAACAGCACACACACGGACAACAACACACACACGGGAGACAGCAACACACAGGGACAUCCAUACCCAAAUCCGAAUCAAAAUCCGAAUCAAAAGCUCAACAAAAGGUAGUAUUACUUCUCCUUUAGAUCUAGGUCUCUGGGUGUGUGUUAUAGAAAAUCUAGGUUUAGAAUCGUGUAGAGGGGAAGAAAGCAAGUAGAAAGAACCAAAAAAAUCAAAAAAAUAAGUUGUUAGGGUUCCGGCGCGGUGGCGCCGCCGCACUGGCCGGCCAACCACCGCCGGAACCCCCAUCCUUCCCGUCGGAGACGGAAGAGAGAGAAGGAGGGAGAAGAAAUGAGAGAAUUUAGGGUUUACAACCCUUAUAUACUCUUCAAACCGGUUCGACCCAUGACCCAGGAUCCACGACCCGCUUCGGUUCCUUAAGCCCAGUUCCUUUUUCUGCUUUCUGCACACCCCUGUUUACCACUGCACCCCCACCUUGUGUUUGGACUUUUUUAUUUUUAUUUUUUCCUUAUUCGUAUUUAUUUAUUUUUUUUAGCAUUUUAAUUUUUAUUGCAGACCUUAGAAUGUAAAUAGGCUUUUUAUGUAAUAGUCGUAGAUUUCAUAUUUCUAACUUAGGGUAGCCGCGUUUUUACCUUCCUGCUCCGUUAGUUUUAAUUUUAGUUAUUAUUAAAAAAAAACAACAAAAACAUGCAAAUAAUCAAAAAUCACAAAAAUAUUUUCAUAAACAAACCUUGAUCCUAAAUCAAGUGGUCGUCAUUUUUAUUUUAUUUCUUUAAUCAAACAUUAAUCAAAUUUAAUUUUAUCCUAAGUCUAUUUUCUUUAAUUUAAAAAAUACAAACAAACUUAUUUGCCAUUUGGCUUUUUCCUUUAAAAUCUUUUUUUCAAAACUAAUAAAAAAACACAAAACCAAUCAAACGUUGUUUUCUAUCCCGAACUACGAGGUUUUGAUCCCCCACGGGUACGUAGGCAGAGGACCAUGUCCUUCCAAAUCAAUAAAAAAUGUAGAUAUUUAGGUCUUUAUUUUCCACUUUAAUUCCUUCUUUUCAAAAUAAGCAAGCAAGUUAUAGCACAAAAAUUAAAUAAAAUCCAAGAGGUUCCCGUAGAGUACUACGGACAUAAAGGGUGCUAGUACCUUCCCUUUAUGUAACUAACCCCCGAACCCAAAAUCUUUUCAAUAUGGGGUUGUUUGAACUUUUUCCCCCUUUUCAUAAUAAAAUUAAAUGUUCAGUCGUGAAAUAAUUAGUGAGUCAAAAGCUAAUCAAAUAGCCUUGAUCUCCAAAAAAUGACGCGACAAUAAUCAUCACUUAAUGAUAAUAAUCAUAUAAACAAACAACAUAUUCAUCAUCUUAUAUUGAUAUAACAACAACAUAUACAACAAUGAUUAAUAAAUAUUAAUACUUCACUUAGUUCUUUAUUAACAACUCCAUUGAUAAAUGACAACUCAACGACAACGACAACGCAACUUCUACAACUUAUCAACUCGACAACUUGACAAUCUUGACAACUCGACAACUUGACAACUUGACUAUGCAACUUAAUCUUCUAAUCAUGCAUGUGGUACCAAUCCAGGGCAUCAAGCCCCCAACGUAUUUGAGCGUAAAUAGGCUCCCAGGGCAUCAAGCCCUCAACUUUAUUUGAGCAAAGGCUCCAGGGCAUCAAGCCCCCAACAAUGAAAUGCUAAUGCAUGAACUCGACCUCUUAAACUUCUUAAAUCGACAACCUCUUAUAUAAUCCAAUACUUUGGAACUUCAUCUUCUCAAUCAACUUAGACCGACUCAUGCAGCUUAGUUAAAUAACAACAGCGACACAACAGUAUACAAAACAGCAUGACAUAAUAAUAUCAAAUGCAAGUCAACAACAUCUCAAAUAUACAUUCAUAAUUCAAGUAAUAAGUAUGACAUCAUAAUCAACAUCAACACAUCCUAAAACAGCUUCAUAGAUUAUCAUUAAUAUUGUAAACAACUACCAUUCCUACCCCAAAGACCAACUCAUGAACUCAUUAGACCCUUUAUACAAGGUUAUCUCCUUCCUAAAAACAUCUCUAGAUGGUUAAGAUAAAGUUCCUACACUUAAGAAGAAGUCUGAAAACAUUUGAAGUGAAGAAAAUUACAUUUUUAAGGUUUCUGGUAAGACAGUAUCAGACACACUAAAAUUACAGAUUUUUCUGUCAAAAUCGCCUCAUGAUCACUAGAAUCGCUUCAUGAUUUCGACAGCAUCAUACAUACUAAAAUUACAGGUUUUCUGUCGAAAUCGCCUCAUGAGCACUAGAAUCGCCUCAUGAUUUCGACAGCAUCAGAUUUUCACCCUUCACGUUUUCGCGCCUAAAAAUCAAACCGUUAACCCGUUUUCGAUGCCGUUUUCGCCUACGCGCUCCUGACACUUAACUCUAUCACAAUCUACAGAAAAAUUACAGUUUCAACCACCCAAAAAUCGGUUUCCAAAACCUCACAUAAUCCCUCAUUUGCCAAAACAUUUAGACACCGUCUCUUCAAGCAAAAAUCUCAAUUUUCAUCAAUCCAAACUCAAAAACUGAUUAGGAAUUUAACCUAUGAUUCUUCUACAACAUGAACACCACCUAUUACUUUAAUUCAUCUGAUUAUCUACUCUUUCUACAUCAAUCUAACAAUUUUUCAUCAAUUCCUCACUUUAACCCUAAUUCUCAAAUCCUCCAAAAUUAAUCUCACCCUUGUUAAAUUUAAUCAUCAGAAUUACAGACUUAAUAAGAUUGAAUGUUAGUCUCACCCUUACCUUAUAGAUGAAAAUCGCAGCACUCCUAGAUCUUCUCCCUCCUCUCGGCUUUUUCUCCCUUUUCUCCAAAAUUGAUCGUACGUUAUGUUUUUUCUAAAUUAGGUUUCUCCUAUUUAUAACCCUUUUUCUAUUUUAUCUUAUUUCUCUUUCUCCCCCAAAACUCUCUAAAAUCUCAUAACAAACUCUCAACUCAAUCUUAUUUCUAUUUUCAAAUCUUAAUCUAUUAAAUAACAACAUAAGCCACUUAAUAAAUCACAUAAUCAAAUAAAUAUAUUUUAAACUCUUCUUAAUAAAUUUUAGACUCAAUUAAAUAAUUAAAUAAAUCAAAUAAUUCAAAGAGGGCGUUACACUAUUUGCAUUGGGCAGAGCUUACUUUGCAGAAUCGGACGAAGCUACAUAUUUCCUGAUCAUGCCAGGGGUGUUGGCUAGCGAAGGUUUUGAUAGAGAUGGUAUUUUGUCCAUCUUUCAUGAUCUCUUUGUUCGUCAACGUCUGGCUGAUUGUAGGGACGUCAUCAGUGCUGAUGAAUUUCUUUUUUACUAGAACCAACUUGAGUUGCAGUCAAUGCCCCCUGGUUUGGUAUGUAGGUUCACUUGUAAUUCCGAAGGGGCUUGCGCGUUGAGUAACAUGAUCCACAACGCCCAUCUACCAUCUCCAGGUGCAGAUGAAGAUUACGACAUGGUUAACAUUUGCAUCUCUUGUCGUCUUGACGUCGAGCUUGCUUGGUUCUUAGAACAUUUCAGAUUUUAGAUCUUUACUUCUUGUUGUAAGGCUCUAAUAACCAUUCUGUUACGUGUCGAAUGAACACGACUAGGUUUGACCAUUUUGGUUUUUCCGGCUUAUUGUAUUUUGACCCAGUAGUUGUUCUUGUACUGUUCAAUCAAUCUAAAGUCGAAAUAUUUCUUUCUUUUGUCGAAUUUCCGUCUAUCUUCUUUGCUUAACCGAUUUCAAUUAUAAUUAAAAUGAUCCAUCAAAACCAAAAUCUAUUGAAAAUUGUUGUUGACACUUCAAAUUAGGCUAAAACAAUGAAAGUCAUUUCCCACUGGAUGAAGUUGGUUACAUGGAUUGAACAACACUGUUACCCUGAUAUCUAAUCAAGUUCAACAACUAAUUAUAAACAAAAUUCAUGCUCCUACCAAGCCAAAUGCACUAGACAAUUACUCCAAAAAGUAAGUGUUUAUCAAUACUCCUUGGUUCAUCUCUGGGUUUGUUAUUAUGAUGGAACAAAUUUGCUAAAAAGAUUGCUAAAAAGACAGAAUAUCGUUUACUUAUAGUCCAAAAAAAGUUUAUAUGUUUGUUAUUAGAAUCUGAAGAUAAAAAAUGUCUUGACGUGCUUUCUAAAUGUCAGAAACCAAACUUUCAACAUAAACCUUGGCAGAGAACCAUUGUAUUUCAUCGAUAAUUCUAGUCCGCUUUGCUGUAUUAUUCCUCAAAUUAUAUAGAAUUGCUCGUUGUUCUUGAUUAUUAGCCAAUAUUAGUGUAUCGUUGUGCUCCGAAAGGUGCAAUGGCAACAAUUGACAUUUUUCCAAGUCAGCAAAAUCAUGAUAUCUAGUCCGAAGAUUUUGGUAGCUAAUUUUAAGGAGUUAAGUCCACGCCUCUUCAACUCCAAAUGUUUUCAUCUUCCAUAUAAUGAAUUCAGUUCUUUUGUAAUCAUGAGAAAAACAGAAGGAGUCUUUCAAUAUACAUAAAUAUGGCAGCUUAAUAGAUGACAUUUCAUCAAAACCAGAGGGAGGCAUCAACUGCGUGUACAACUCUGUUCCCAUACUCAUCGCAUUCGCAUAAGAGAUUUCACAUUGGAAAAGGAAAGGAUUUCGGCGAUAAGGUCGUAAGAGAGGCUUACCGGAAACUCUGCGUUGGGUUGAGCGAGCACUUGAAUUAGCUGGAGGAUUACUCAAACUUGACGGAGUCGCGAAGCGAUGCUGGUGGAUGAAAGCAGCCAGCGGCGGUGUAGUCUAUUCACGACUUGUGGAUGAAAAGUGCUCUCAAGUAAUUUCAAUUAUAGAUCAUCUUUGGGUCUAAUAUUAAUAAAAGAAACAAAGAAUAAUUAUCAUAGAGGAACAUUUAUACCAAUACUUUCAAUCAUGGAAAGUAGAUAACACCAAGAUUGAGAUAAAAAAAAGUGAAAAAAUGAAAGACGGUAAUCUUCAUUGUAAAAACAAGAAAAAAGGAAGAAAAAUUGAGUUUUUAACAUGUAUUACACAAUAUUGGGAAAAAUAAAAACACGACAACAUAAAGUACUCAACAGUCAACACAUAAGCUUAUAAUAAAUGACUAAAUUGAAUUUUUAAGCAAAUCUAUCCAUUUUAAGCACACUUCAGUUUCUUAAUAAAUAAGGGAAGUUGUUGAGAUGAGUUGCUAUAACAAUAACAUUAAUGCAAACAGAUGAAAGAGAUAUACAUAUGUAAACAGACCGUGAACAACUCUAACUUUCUAUGAUUCCAACAAAUUUUAUAUAUGUCUUUAAAAUGGUAGAAAAUGAUUCCAUUAAGUAAGAAAGAAAGACGAUAUAGGACCUUGAAAACGACGAACGAGCUCCAAGAUAUGAAACCAUGCGUGAAUAGGUAGGAGAACAGUGUACACAGUUGAUGAAGUAAUGACCUCCAAGAUCUGAAACACGUUUGUCACAAGGUUGAAGAACGAUGUGAACAGUGCAUAGGGUUUGAUAGUUGAUACCGAGUGGAAGAAUGUGAGUUCAUGGGAGAUCAAAUAAAAAGAAACAAGAUGAGAGAGUAUAGGAGAAAGAAAACAGUGAAAGUAUUGGUAUAAAUGUUCCUAUAUGAUAGGUGUGUAUGGAAUGGGUGGAUGUGGUGAGAAGGCCUAGGAAUCAAAUAUGUUCGACAAGGUAAUAUCUAUCACAGCGUCUCAAACUCAAAAUAUUAGAGAUAUUCAUGGAAAAAUGGUAGACAUGUUAAACUUGAAACUCAAUGAAGAAAGCGAAGAGGGAAGAGCACAACGGUUAUGGUUGAGUUUGACAGAAAAUAAACGAAUUCUUGUUAUAGUAGAUGAUUUAUGGAAUAUCCUUGUAACCACUCGUAAUCAGCAAGUAUGCACUUCAAUGGACUGUCAAAAGAAUAUUCAUCUAGAGCUUUUAUCUAAAGAUGAAUCCUGGACUUUGUUCCAAAAGCAUGCAAAGAUUACUGACAAGUUUUCCAAGUCAAUGGAUGGUUUGCCACGAGAACUCUGCGAUAAAUGUAAGGGACUGGCCCUAGCUAUUGUAACUAUGGCGUCUUGCUUAAAAGGAAAGCAUAAAAGUGAGUGGGAUGUUGCACUACAUAAGAUGAGGAAUUCAUCGGCAUUUGAUGAUCACGACGAAGGAGUGAGAAAUGCUUUGAGUUGUCUUGAACUAAGCUAUAAAUAUUUACAAAACAAGGAAGCAGAGUUGCUCUUUUUGUUGUGUUCUAUAUUUCCAGAAGAUUGCAACAUAUCGACCGAUGAUUUAAUCCUAUAUGCAAUAGGACUAGGUUGGAGGAAGAUCUCCACUGAAGUUAUCAAGGAGUUUGGUUCAAGACGGCAUAAACAAGCUUUUAGAAUCAUGUUUGCUGAUGCCGGCUAAAGACAUGCAACGUGUGAAGAUGCAAGACAUGGAUAUAUAAAAUACUUUCAUAUAUCUUUUCGGAUCCUAUGCUGAGAGACCAAAGUUUGUUUACGUUGACAUAUAUGGAACAUUCGAUCCAUGUCACAUUGUUAACCUGCUGCAUCUCAACCUACUGCAACAACUACUCAAGAAGGCACAACCUUAACUAUUAGUGUUAUAAAGAGUGCGUCAAAAUGAAUGUUGCUCGCAUUAUUAGAUGCUUAUCUGUUGAAACAAAGAACUAAAAAUACAAAUAAUGGAAGAGCAAAGAACUAAAAUCCAUGCAAAAAUUCAAGUGUAUAUAAUUAGAUGCUUAUCUGUUGAAACAUCAGCCUACUGCUUCAUGGUCAGUUUCUUGGCUAUACUUGUGUGUGUUAUUAUUAAAGAUUAAAGAUAGGAAAAAACAAAUCUUAACUAUUAAUUUCAGAUUUUGUAAUCCUUAUCAAAAUAAUCUUAACUAUUAUUCAUAGUAAAUCUACUUCCGUAUCUAUCACUAUUAUAAACUAAAAUGUGAAAACUUGUUCGCCUAUGGUUCAAAAACUUGAUUUUCUUUUUGUAAAGAAAAUUAAUUUUAAUUAGAAAUUUUGAAACAUAAAUCAUUAAUAAAAAAAAACUUUAUGAAAACUUUAAACCCCAUAUAAAAGAAGUGCAUCAAGAAAUUCAAUAAGAAUGUAAACCAUAAUACCCUGUAAUAUGUUUAAUUUGAUAUUCUCCUUGAUUUGGUGUUGGAACCAAUGAAGGGAUUAUUGAAAAUUUGAAAUAAAUAUGAUACAAAUUACAAUACAACUACAAGUAGGGUAAACAAGUUUGCCCGUAAAAUCCAAUUAUUUGAUUAUCCUCUAUUACAAGACUUCAAAGUCAGAACUGGAUAACAAGCACCCCCAUAUGCAAAUUAUUUCUUCUUUGGAUUAUGGGGAAUUUUUCGGUUCCUUGAUCUACCUUUUCGGGAGGCAGCAACGCUAGCUAUUACGUCAUUACCGGCAAUGAGUAAAGCGCUCAAACCCAUUAGCUUCAACCCAAGGUUUUUUGUCAAAUAUAACAACCUAUUUUCAUCUCCUCCACUGAUUUCCUGCAUUUGAUCCAUCUGUUCAAGGGAUAAAAUAGUGUAAAUCUCCUUGUAACUUUCGUCAAUACCACCAAAAGUGAAUUUCAUAAUCGCCUUCGACUGUGUAUCAUCGUGUAAAGGAUCACAUAUGAAAGCAAAAUUUCCGAUUUCCAAAUAAGGCCUCUUGAAUAAAUUAACCAGGAUACCGUUGUUGUGUGCUAUAUUCUUAGACAAGGACUUCUUAGGACAAGGCUGCUGAACAGGGGUUAACUGGUAAAUGCGAGAAGCUUCUCUUAAUCCACUCAUGAAAGCACCAUGCAUAGUGGCUGGAUAUUGCCUAGAAGUGGCCUCACCUGCAAAGAACAGUCGGUUUCCCACGUUUUCUGCAAGGAUAUCAUAAUCCUUACCAGAUGAUUGCACACUGACAUGAGAGUAUGAACCAUAAGAAUAUCAAGCAGCUGGGAUCUCACCUCUCUAGCCUUUCUUAGACCUUUAACUUGCAAAAAAUGGUCAUUGCACCAAUCACCUCUGUAAUAAUGUUGUUUCCAUUGCUGAUAGACAUUGUAAAGGGUUAAAUGAUCAGAUUCUGGCACAAAAAAUCUUUCGCGUGCAGCAUCACUCUCCUCUGCUCGGUCCUUUGGCCUAAAGAAAACAGAUGGUACUGAAAGCAUGGAAACUAUGGUCAGAACCUCCUCAAGACACCCGAAAUGCUCACCCAUCAAAAGCAUCUUGGCAAGUGGAGGAUCCAGUGGAAACUCAACCAUUUUCCAGCCAAGUUCAGUCAAUCUCCCCGCAUUGUUAAGGGCGCCCAACAUCCACAACUGGUACAUAGAAUUAAGAAUAUUAUCCUGCGGAGGUGGAUCAAUGAAAUCAAAGUCAAGUAAAUUUUCAACUUUAAGAGAUUUCAGCAACAAGACGACAUUGCCAAGGUUAGUUCUCUGAAUCUCUGGAACAGGACUGGCCAACAUUUCAUUUAGGUAAGCACUCUCUGUAUACAACCGAUAGCAUGCCCCAGGGCCAGUUCGACCAGCUCGACCAGCACGCUGGUUAGCAGCAGCCUGGCUAACCGGGAAGACUUGUAGAGCGUCCAUACCCAUCCUAGGGUUGUACCCAUCCUAUUAAUUUAGUAAAACAAAUUAUUAUUAUAUGAGUGUGACUUUUUUAAAUCUGAGUUCAAAAGAUGGCACAUCCGUAGAAAUCUGAGUGUUUAACUAUUGUUAAACAUUUUUUGUACUUGUCCAAAACAGUUCAGACGAAACAGCACAAACAAUGCAUAUUUCUAAAAUGAUUUAACAGUUGAACUGUCAUUCAUUUCACAAUGUGCUUGUAAAGAAAAUACUUUUCUUUUUCUCUGUCUAUAAAUUGGCCUAGUUCUUAAGUAUCACAAGAAGUCUAUGACUUAAUUAGCAGAGACACAUAACAAGAUAAGACAAAUCUAUUUGUAGGCAUCAGCCAGCGUCAAUAUAAAACAAAAUUUGAUCUUCAUAGUAACUAAGCUUAAUCGAUUUAUUCAUAUCACACCUAGAUAUAUAUUUGGGCUCAAGGUUCAUAUGGUAUAUAGAAAACUAAACUCAACAAAGUGUAAUUUUGACAAUCCCACGAUUCAAUUAAUUACUUAAUGUUCCUAAACAUAGCUUAGUUAAAGAAUUUGUAUAACUAUAAUUCUAGUUCCACACACUAAUCCACCCUAAUUCUAAUUUCAACAACAAUUUCAAGAAAUUAUCAUUCAUGAAAAUCACUUAAUAUCUCAUACUAAUCACUUUACCAAUGUAAAGGUAUCAAUUCUAAUUAUUUAAAUUCAAGUCUAGGAGAGGAAACCCACCUCAAAGAACAACUUCCUCUUGAUGCAGUCUUGACCCAAAACUCUGUCUCCAACAAGCACUCUUGUCCUGCAUCAAUCCUUCAAUUUCGGUUCCUUGGCUCUCUUGUGCUCCAAUGAAAAUAUUACUCACCAAUUGGUGUAUGCAACUUGGGUAGUGAAAACGACCAAUAUAUCCUUCCUUUCCUUUACAUUAGAAUUGGGUUGUUACAUUUUAUCCUCUUUAAAAGAAUUUCACACAAAUUCUUAUUGAAAUUAGGAACUAAACACCACAUAAACUAUGACAAAUUAUGGCUUAUCACACCUUUCUAAAAAUUUAUUUUUGCAGUUAUACUUGGCUGAAUGUGCUGCCCCCUCAAGGAUUUUAAUACGGAGCGCUUAUCAUUCGUGAGUUUGUUGAUCAAGUAAGACUUUGCAUCUUAUUCAUUGAUAUAUUUUCAUAACAAUACAAAAGAAAAAGAUGCAAAGUCCUUGAUCAACAAACCCACAUAAGCUAAGUGCUCGGUAUUAAAAUUCUUAAGGAGGCAGCAAGACGGCAUUCAGCCAAGUAUAACAGCCAAGUAUAACUGGCAAAAAAAAGUUUUUAGAAAGGUGUGAUAAGCCAUAAUUUGUCAAUAAGAAUUUGUGUGUUUUAGCUUCCAUUUAGAACUAUUUUACUUCACUUCAAAGUCUUUUGUUUUGUUUUCUAGAUAAAAAAUAAUAAAUAACAAGUUAAGGAUCAAAAAGCAUUAGAAAGAAGAAAAAGAAAGUAUGGAGUUAAUUUUACAAGGGUGAAAUUUUUUUAAGGGAGGAUAUAAUGUAACAACCCAAAUCUAAUGGAAGGAUAUAUUGGUCGUUUUCACUACCCAAGUUGCAUACACCAAUUUCAAAUUUGUUGAAAUUUGUAUUGUUGUUGUUGCAUGUAAUGGAAACAAAAUAUAUAAGCAACUUGACCUUGAUGAAGACAGCAGCCCAGGUUUAAGUGUUUGUGUAAAAAUUCUGACCCAGAUCUGGACAACAUACAAGAUUGGGAUGAAAACACGUAAGCUCUUUUCCGGCGCGGUGGUUGAAAGCUACGGCGUGGUGGUCACCGGCGAAGGUUGUCCGUUCCUGAUAUUUUUAAAUGGGUUUUGUAGAGAAGAUGGAGGGGACUCUUUUUAUGGUGAUGGAUUUUCAAAAGCUUGUACGUGGAUGUCAAGAUCUAGCCGAAAAGAUGGUCAUAGGGAAAUUUAAAAUCAUCUUUGACUUGAAAUAAAUUUGAUAGAGUAUAAUUACAAAUGAAAAGGAGAGGAUGAAGAUGGUGGAGCAAUGUAACGACCGCCGGAGACACACUGAAGGAGGGAGGAGGCGGCGGCUAGGGUUUGUUUGAGAAUCAGAGAGUUUUCCAGAUUUCUUUGGUGAAGAGAGAGAAAAUUAACUUUAAAAUAAAUAUGGUGUGUGGAAUAAAGAGUAAAUAGUCGAUUUCUCCUCUAAAAUUGUAAGUUUCAUCAAUUACCCCCUGAAAUUAACAAAAUUUGUCAAAUUUUUCUGUUAGGGAAUAUGACAUUUUGCAAAUACCCCCCUGAAGUUUUGCACUUAUGUGAAAAAUGUCCCCCAAACUUAAAAAUUUAUAUUAUUUUUUUCUUAAAAACAAACAAUUAAUAGUUAAAUAUUAAAACUAACUAUUAAUUUUGAAGUUUGGAAAAACUACAUACAUAUAUCCAUCAAAAUAGGAAAAAAUGUGUAUUUUUAAAGUGACAAUAAUGGUUAUUUCUAAUAGACAAAUUAUUAUUUUUAAAGGUUUAUAAACAAAUUAAUAAUCAAAUUUAUAUUUAUAUUUUCUCCUUCACCAUCUUAGUCUUUUAACUCAUCAAACUUCUUCAACAAUUUGCUCAAACCAUUUAAAUUACACAACCCCCAAUAUUAAUCCACAAAUCAUCUCAUUACUGUCACUUUAAAAAAUACAUAUUUUUCCCCAUUUUGGAGCCUAUUUUGAUGUAUAUAUGCAUGUAGUUUUUCCAAAUUCCAAAAUUAAUAGUUAAUUUUAAUAUUUAACUAUUAAUUGUUUGUUUUUAAGAAAAAAAUAAUAUAAAUUUUUAAGUUUGGGGGGCAUUUUGCACAUAAGUGCAAAACUUCGGGGGGUUGUUUGCAAAACGUUAUGUUCACUAACAGAAAAAUUUGACGGAGGGGGUAAAUUGACUAACGUUGUGAAAUUUCAUGGGGGUAUUUGAAGUUUUGUUAAUUUCAGGGGGGUAAUUGAUGAAACUUACAAUAUCAGGGAGGAAAUUGACUAUUUACUCGUGGAAUAAAGUUAAAUGACAAAAAAUAAAAUAAAAUAAAAAUUAUAAAAAAAUACUCUACGUUUGUACGAGAUAGAAAUGAGUAAAGGGUAUAGACUUUUUUUAUUGCAAAAUUAGUGUAACAUAAUAAAAAUAAAAAUAAAUAAAUUCUUUAAAAAAUAUAUAAAAAAUAAUAAUAAUAAUAAUUUCUUUAUCAAAUAAUAAAAAAAUAGUAGUAGUUUAUUUAACCUCUAAAAAUAUAAUUUAAUAAAUGUUAUUUUACAUAUAUAUAUAUAUAUAUAUAUAUAUAUAUAUAUAUAUAUAUAUAUAUAUAUAUCUAACGAUGUGUUUUUUUAUAAGAUCUAAAGACGUGUUGUUACAUUAAUUAAUGAAUAUUAAAAUUUAAUUUUUUUUUCAUAUUCAUGAAAACAUAAGAUAAAUAUAUUUCAUUGUUACAUAAAAAUAACGGUAAAACAUUGAUCGUUUGAUACGUACAACAUACCAAAGAGAGUAAUAGAAAAAGAGUGAUGUGUAUAGAUUUGAAGUGAGGCAAUAACAGACGAUGUAUAAAUAGUUUAAAAGACAAGUUUUAAAAAAGGUUGACAAAAUAUAUUAUACAAGGGUCGACUCAUCACUUCAGAAUUUUAAAAUAAUUGUUGUAAACGAGACAAGUUGUCACUUCGCAAAAUUUUUAAAAAAUUAUUAUAAACAAGACAUGCUGAUAUAAAUUUUAAAAUAAGUAUUGAACAUAUUUUGGUAGUGGUCGGAGUUUGAACCCCGGACGUUGGAUAUAUUAUGCAUUAUCCAAACCAACUGAGCUAAGCUCACGAGGACAUAAGUAUCGAACAUAUGAUUUGUCAUCACUGAUAUAUAUUAUAAAAUAGUUAUUAUACACGAGACAAGAGAUACACUGAUAUAUAUUAUUAAACAUUAUUUUUCUUCCUUCAAAAAAACAUUAUUCUCCUUUUUUUCUUCAAACCAUAACGUAAGUGAAAAACUAACUUAAAAAAAUAAUAGAAUUAUACACGGCAUUUGUUAUCAUUGAGUACAAAUUCAAAAAUAAUUAUAACACAAAGAGACAAGUUUUAGCCGAUAUGAAUUUUAAGAUAAUUAGUUUGUACUCAUUGUCAAACCAUAGGUCACGAUGUUUCGGCGUGUCGAUGGUUGUACCCUAGGGUGGAGAAGAAUGCACACAAAGAAACAAUUGUUCAGGGGAAAAAGUCAGUUCCAAUAAAGAAGCACAAUUGGGUCCCUAUAAAGGACAAUCCGUCAGGUAUAGGGUCCUCUCUAGCUUUUGAAGCACCACAGAAAAUUGUUGACAUAACAGUCCCUGUUAUGGAAGCACAAAACAACUUGGCACAUCAACAAGAAACAACAGAGGCGGAGAUACAACAAUUGAUCACGAUAGAUGAAGAUAUUAUGCAGCAAUCUGACAUUGUUGAUGCAAAAGGUGUGCACCACAAUUUGGAGGAUGAACCGUUAGAGAUUGGAGAAACUAUAUCAGGCAAUGUUGACUCUACAAUGAAUAUUCCAACUCCUACAGCUGCCAAGGUAAAUCCUUCUAGCAUGCCACUAAAUAACGUAGCUGAUAAUGUGGCUAGAUGGAGUCAUGGACCUAUAUUAACACCAGUUGCUGAUGUGGAUGUCAGUUCUAUAAGGGCCGAUCCUAAUGCCACAUUAGAUCCUACUUUACAGAAAGAUUUGGAUUUUAUGAAGACAUGGUUGGACAAGGCGGCAGUUAAUGAAGAUGUGCCUUUUUCCCCGGUCCUUUCUAAGUCUCAGAAGAAGAAGCUAAAGCAACAAGUUAAGGCUAGUUAUCAAACCCGAUCACAGGGUCCUCUCCCAACUUCUCAAUGAAUUUCAUCUAUUGGAACAUUCGGGGGAUCGGUAACAAUGAUUCCCGAGUAGCUCUUACUGAGAUUUUGGUUUAUUUCCUAUUAUGCCUGCUCCUCUGUCAGCUGAUUUUGCAAGAGACGGACAUGGGCUUCUCAACUUUAGAUUUUUGUAGCCUUGUCUAGCCUUCUCUUUUUUCCGUUUAUUUUUUUUUCGGAGGGUCUUGGCCUAGUCCCCCCCUCUAUUGUACAUAAUUUUUUUUUUUUUUUAAUAAUAUUACGUAUUGGAAAGGCGGUAGAGGAUGGGGGUUUAUGUUGGAUGCCAACCUAGUUGGGAUGCUUCAGACUCGCCCGGAUACCAAACCUUUCUCUUGGCCUUUAUCAAAAAAACAUGUCAUCACUGAUAUAUAUAUAUAUAUAUUAUAAAAUAUUUAUUAUACAUGAAACACGUUGUUAUUGUUAACUUAAAAAAAAACUUUAAUAAUAAUUAUUAUGGCGAAAUUGUCACUGAUACAAAUCUACUUCUUCUAACAAUAUCUAAAAAACGAAGUCCAGCAAAAUAAAUAAAUUAGUCUACAGUUAUCAAUGGAAAUUAGUUAUACAUGACCAUCAUCUGUAAUUAAUUUUUUUUUAAAAAUUAGAACAUAAUAAACAAGUUGUCGCUCAUAUAAUUUUCAAAAUAAUUAUUAACCAUGUGACAUGUCAUCACUUAUAUUUUUUAAGAAAAUCACUUAUAUAUAUUAUAAAAUAUUUUUUUGAGGGAUUAUAUUGUAAAAUAUUUAUUAUACACGAAAUAAGUUGUCAUUGUUAACUUUAAAAAUUAUUAUUAUACAUGGGCGAAGUCGUCACUAAUAUCUACUUUUUUUUUUAGGGGGACCGAUACAAAUUUACUAACAUCUACUUCUACUAACAAUAUAUAUAUAUAUAUAUAUAUAUAUAUAUAUAUAUAUAUAUAAUCGAAGUCCUUCAAAAUUUCAUAACCGUCCUUAUUAAAAUUCACUAUCUUCUUAAUUUCAUGUGUUAACUUUAAAAGAUUUAUUAUACACGAAACAAGUUGGCACUGUUAACUUUAAAAAUUAUUAUUAUACACGGGCGAAGUCGUUACUGAUACAAAUCUACUAACAUCUACUUCUACUAAUAAUUAUUUUUAUACACGGGCGAAGUAAUCAGUGAUACAAAUCUACUAACAUCUACUUCUUCUAACAACAAUAACAAUAUAUAAAAAUCAAAGUCCACCAAAAUUUCAUAAUAAUCCUUAUUAAAACUCAUUAUCUUCUUAAUUUAAUGUGCAUAAUUGCAUUUUUCAAAGUUUAAUUUAUUUAUAAAAAAAACUAAUUACGGACAACGAUCAUCACAAGUGUAACUAAUUUCCGCUAAUAACUAUGUAAUUUAUUUAUUUUUUUGAUGGACUUCGAUUUUUAUAUAUAUCUCUCUUAAUGUAAGAAGAGAAGAUGUUGUAGAAAAUAUAUUUAUGCCCUACAAUGGUUGAUUGCCACGUCCUAACAAUGGAGGUAAAACAUGUCAUAAAUUUAUUUUAUUGAACUAAAUUACCUCAAGUAACUUUAAUGAUGUCAUGUAACUAAUAAAAAGUACUGGUUUAGGUGAUGGCAUGAGUAACUAUGAUGAUAUCAUGCAAGUUGAACAAAGUAUUUAGUUUAGUUACUUUUGAAUCUAAAAUUUACCUUUUCUAACUGAUGACGUCAUCUAAUUAUUAUUAUUACUUUAUGGUUUCAAAUUUGUACACAUUUUCCUCCAAAUGGCUUGACAAAAUCUAACUGCCUUUCCCAUUCCCAUAGUUCCAUUACUUUUAAAAAUUUCUCAUUUUUCAAUGAAAAAAAAUGUCAUUCAUGACUUACAUCAUGUCAUAUCACAUAUUUCAAAUUUCAAAACUCCCCCCUAAAUUUUAAAACACAAAGAUUUUGAAACCAUAUAUUCAAAGUCACUUUCACUCAUAUUUGUCAUUCUCAGCUUCUUUCUCCCAAACUACAAAUGUCAAUACCUUUUCUUCUUUUCAAACUUUCUAAUCUCCAACUACUAUUUUAAUUUUAUUUUGCAGGAAAAUUGAAAGUUGUUCAUUUUACAACUGAACAAGUAGUUGAAAGUCCUGCAAAAUCAAUAGUUAUACAUGAGUCAGGUUGUUUUUGAUAAAAUAAAAUAAAAUAGUUAUAACACAAAAGACAAAUCGACAUUGAUAUAAAUUUUAAAAUCUUUAUUUCACACUCGAUAAGUGUUCAAUGUUCAAAUUUAAUAAUUAUUUGAUACUGGUCAAAUCGACACUGAUAAAUUUUUUAGCAUAAUUGUUAUAGGCGAUAUAAAUUUUUAUUUUUAAGGAUUAUAGACAAUGUCACUGUUGAAAAUUUAAAAUCUAUUAUUAUACACAUGAGAUGUUGUCAAUAACAUAAAAUUAAAAUAAUUUUAACGUACAAUACAAGUCAACAAUUAUAUAAAUUUUAAACUAACUAUUCUAUAUAGGACAAGUCGUCAGGGAUACAAAUUUUUAAAUAAAUAUUAUACAUAGGUAGAAUUGUCCAUGGUAAAAAUUAAAAAUUAUUAUUAUGCACAGUACAAGUCGUAAUAUAUAUAGUCAAAAUGUCAUUGAUAUAUGUGAGACGUGUGAGGAUUUCGGAAAGUGAAUAAUAGAAAGAGAGUGAUAAUGUGUAUAGAGUUGAAGUGUGGUAGUAGUGCGUGUGGUGUGGCGGAAAUUUUAAAAACUAUCAUAAAAAGAAGAAAUUUGCAAUUAAUUAACAAAUGUACAGAAUAAGUUGUCGUUGACUAACUAACUUUUAUACACAUAACCAAUUGUUAUUUAUAAAAGACAGGUCUUGCUAAAACGUUCAUGCUAUUUAUAAUAUCACCUCACUUCAAAUCUAUAAUGAUAUUGAACCCUCAUAAACUAAUAUGCACGGGAUAAAUGAACAUUGACUAAACUUUCAGAAAAUAAAAUAAAGGGUAAAUACCUCUUUUCGUCCCUGUAAUAUUAGCGAAUUUUUAGUCCCUGUAAAAAAAAAGAUCUAGAUGUUGUCCCUGUAAUUUCAGAUUCUUUCACUUUUGGUCCCUCCUUUCAUCAAGUCAACAGAAUCUGCAUAAAUUACGUCCCUGUAAUUUCAGAUUCCUCCCACUUUUGGUCCUUGUAAUUUCAGAUUCCUCCACUUUUGGUCCCUCAUUUUAUGUGCCAUGUAUGCAGAUUCUUCUUACGUGGUGGAAUGAGGGACCAAAAGUGGAAGAAUCUGAAAUUACAGGGACAAAAUCUAAAUCUUUUUUUUUAUAGGGACUAAAACUGAAAUUCGCUAAUAUUACAGGGACGAGAAUAGGUAUUUACCCUAAAAUAAAAUACACGGGAUAAAUUAUCAUUGACUAAACUAACCUUGAUUUACACAAUAAGCUGUCCUUUAUAAAAUCUGUUCAUGCUAAAACAUUUAAACUAUUUAUAACAUCAUCACCUCAAUUCAAUUCUACAACGAUAUUGAACACUUAUCAACUAAAAUGCACAGGAUAAACAGAGAUUGAAUAAAAUUUCGUAGAAAACUGAAAUGCAUCGGAUAAGUGGUCAUUGACUAAAAUUUCAAAAGUAACAUAAAUGCACGAGACAAGUUGUCGCUAACUAAACUAACUUUGAUAAACGAUAUUUAUAAAAAAUUGGUUUUGCUAAAAUGUUUCAUGUCACCUCACUUCAAUUCUAUAAUGAUAUUGAACCCUCAUAAACUAAAAUGCACGGGAGAAACAAACAUUGACUAAACUUUCAGAAGAAAAAAAAAAUACACGGGAUAAAUUAUCAUUGACUAAGCUAACCUUUAUUUACACGACAAGUUGUCCUGUAUAAAAAUUGUUCCUGUUAAAACGUUUAAACUAUUUAUAACAUCAUCACCUCAAUUCAAUUCUACAACAAUAUUGAACACUUAUCAACUUAAAUGCACAGGAUAAACAGAGAUUGAAUAAAAUUUCGUAGAUAACUGAAAUGCAUCGGAUAAGUGGUCAUUGACUAAAAUUUCAAAAGUAACAUAAAUGCACGAGAUAAGCUGUCGCUAACUAAACAAACUAUGAUAACCGAUAUUUAUAAAAAAUUGGUCUUACUAAAAUGUUACUGUUGUUUAUAAUGUCACCUCACUUCGAUUCUAUAAUAAUAUUGACCCCUCAUAAACUAAAAUGCACGCGAUAAAUGAACAUUGACUAAACUUUGAGAAAAAUAAAAUAAAGUACACGAGAUAAAUUAUCAAUGACUAAACUAACCUUGAUUUACGCAAUAAGUUGUCCUUUAUAAAAACUGUUACUGCUAAAACAUUUAAACUAUUUAUAACAUCAUCACCUCAAUUCAAUUCUACAACGAUAUUGAACACUUAUUAACUAAAAUGCUCAGGAUAAACAGAGAUUAAAUAAAAUUUCGUAGAUAACUAAAAUGCAUCGGAUAAGUGGUCAUUGACUAAAAUUUCAAAAGUAACAUAAAUGCACGAGACAAGUUGUCACUAACUAAACUAACUUUGAUAAACGAUAUUUAUAAAAAAUUGGUUUUGCUAAAAUGUUUCAUGUCACCUCACUUCAAUUCUAUAAUGAUAUUGAACCCUAGUGAACUAAAAUGCAUGGGAUAAAUGAACAUUGACUAAUCUUUCAGAAAAAAAUAAAAAAAAUACACAAGAUAUAUUAUCAUUGACUAAACUAACUUUGAUUUACACAACAAGUUGUCCUUUAUAAUAAUUGUUCAUGCUAAAACAUUUAAACUGUUUAUAAUAUCAUCACCUCAGUUCAAUUAUAAAAUGAUGUUAAACUAUUUAUAAUAUUACAUGACAAGUUGUAAUUUUUUUUUUUUUUGGACCAAAAGUUGUAAUAUUAUAAUAAACUGUUGGAUAUUAUUUUUAAUAUCUAUAUAGACUUAAAAUAUACACACAAUAUCUCAUUUUCCAUUAUAUUCAAAUAUUAUAAUAUUGUUUACGUUUCAAGUUUAACAAAUUUAAAUAAACUUGUGUUAUGUAAAAAUUGUAUUAUAUUUUAAUGUGCAUUAUCAUAUUCUGUAAAAUGUAAGAAUCAUUAUAGAAAAAUAACUGUCCAUCACAUGUAAAGAAGUUAUAUUAACAUUUUCAAAACCUAAAAAAAAAUAUCACAUCAAAUUUUUAAAUAACAAUAUAUAACAACCAUUAAAAAGAAAAUCAGACUCUUUUAUACAACAAAUGGUUACUGUACCCGUGCGUCAGCAUGGGUAUGUUACUAGUCUUCCCUUGGACAUUAUAUACAACGAAAAUUUGAAUUUUUUUAAAAGGAAUAGGGAAAGAAAAAAAAAUUAGAAAAUUGGAAUUUGCUUAGGAAUUUGGAAAACUUAUAACUUUUAGAGAUCGAGUCAUCCGGUUCAAUUUGAUUCAACACAUAUACAUAUUUUAUAUAAAGACCGAGUUAACUGACCGAGUCAUCCGAUUCAUUCCGGUUCAGUCAUACUGUUCAACCAGUGACCCAAUGACCUCACCGAGUCGAUGACCGAGCCGAUUUUUAAAACUAUGUGUAAGGCCAUCCACAAUGCAACACUUGUUUAAACGGGUCCCGACUGUACACAUCAUUCAUUUUAUAAUUAAUAUUUGAUAAGCACUAAAUCUCUCCAAUUAAGCACCUCAAAAUAAUUAUUAAUUGGGUCCAUGCAAUAACUCUAUAUCAUUAAAUUUUUUACAAUAAUUUAUAUAUUCAUUCAUAAUUAUAUAAUUUUAAAAUAUUGAAAUAAUUUAAUUAUAAAUUAUAAAAAAAGUUAAAAUUUGAAAAAAUAAUAUAAAAUAAAUAAUGGUAAAUUAUUUGUUGUUUUGCUUAAAUCCAAUCAUUGUAGGUUUGUUUUUUUUUUUUUUUCUCCAUUGAGAUGGGUAAAUUAUUUGUUGUCUUAAAAAAAGUUUUGGUUGAAAAUUUAAUGUUGAUCAAUUAAAUAUUACUCUUGAAACUAAUAUGUAAUUUACUUUUUCUUGCAAAAAAAAUAUAAUUUACUUUUUAAUAUUAAAAUAAUACAACAAUUGAAUAAAUAAAAAAUAUAUAAUUGAUUGCACAUGUGGGACCCAUGAGUAAUAGGAGAGAGAGGGUGCCUAUAAAAGCACCCAUCUCUAUAAUCACUGUAUUAAUUAAUGUCACAAUGGAGGUGCCUAUUUAGCAUGGUGCUAAAUAGGGGAAGAACUCCCCAUUGUAGAUAGUCUAAUGAUUUUUUUUUUUUUUUUUAAAUAUUUAAAUAUAAUUUUAGUUAUAAUUAAAUAAUGAAUUUAAAAAUUUGAUCCAAUGGUAAAAAGGAGUUAUCUUUGUGCUGUGCAGAAUUUAUAUGAGCCAACAUGGAUUUAAGCUAGCGUACCGUUUGAUCCGGCUUUUUUCCAACUUCUAUACUUUUUUAAGGAGAAGUUAGGCCAAAUAUUGUUGAAACAAAAUCUGUUUAGCAAUAACUCUUAAGAGUUUUGAUGAUAACAAAGUAUUAAAAAUUGUCAAUUGGAUAUGCUAAUAUUUGUUCAAGCGUACAAGACGAUAGACAAAAAUUUGACAUCUUAAAAAGGUCUUAGAAGAACAUAUAAAGAGCAAAUACAUCAACAAAAAAAGGGAAGCUUAAAGCGUCUGAAGAAAACUGCUCGUGAAGUGUGAAAUGCUCGUGAAGACAAAGUGCUCCUGAAGUGAUGACGUCAUCAGAAGCAAGGUCAUCAGAAGCAAGUUCAUCAGAAGCUGUGUAUCACCAGAAGUGGCAGUUCAUCAGGAGUUGGAACUUAAAGCUUCAAAAGCUGUUUCAAGGACUCUAACUCGCCUAGAAAUUGCAGAAGACUGGAAAAGUAUGGCAACGACUAUUUUGAAAUGCAUUGGAUGCUUAUUCUUCAAAGAGCGUUGACAUAGUACGUUUGUACGAAGUGUACAACCACUACUUCCACUACUCUGUUUUUGUCUCUGCUACAAGACAAGCAAAACAACUCUGCCUGCAACAAUGUUUAUUCACAUUUGGAACACAUUUGAAAUUGAUCCUUCAUAGAACAAUAACCAUAUCAGGCAAAUGAUCAUUGAUGAUUGAUCAAAAGCUUCAAACUACUCUAUUUUAAAUGUGAUGACAUUUCAACGUCUCUUUCACACCUCUAUAUAAAGGAGUGAAGACUCAGAGUUUCACACGAACAAUACGACGUGUCGCGUCAUUUUUUGGAGAUCAAGACUAUUUUAUUAGCUUUUGACUCACUAAUUUAUUUCACGACUGAACACAUUUUUUUUAAGGGGAACAAGUUCAAAACACCCUAUAUUAAGAGAUUUAGGGUUCGGGGGUUGGUUAUAUUUAGGGAAGGUGUUAGCACCCUAAAUAUUCGUAGUACUCUACGAGAACCUCUUGAUUUUAUUUAAUUAAUGUGCUAUAAACUUGCUUAUUAUUUUUGAAAAGAAGGAAUUAAAGUGGAAAAAUAAAGACCUAAUUAUCUACAUUUUUUAUUGAUUUGGAAGGACAUGGUCCUCUGCCUACGUACCCGUGAGGGAUCAAAACCUCGUAGUUCGGGGUAGAAAUUGACGUUUGAUUGAUUUGGUGUUUUUUAUUUGUUUUGAAAAAAGGUUUUAAAAUGAAAAGCCAAGUGGCAAAUAAGAAUUUGUUUGUAUUUUUUCUAUUAAAAGAAAAUGACUCAAAAUAUGAUUAAAUUGGUUAAAGUUUGAUUAAGAAAAUAAAAUAAAAGACGGUCACUUGAUUUAAGAUCAAAGUUUGUUUAUGAAAAUAUUUUUGUGAUUUUUGAUUAUUUGCAUGUUUUUGUUGUUUUUUUGGAAUAUAAAAUAAAAAUUAAACUAACGGAGCAAUAAAAAUAAAAGCGCGUGGACUUUUGUAGUGACGUUGGAUCACCACAAAAUCCCUAAUCUAAUUUUUUUUGCAUUUUUGGAUAUAUAUAUAUAUAUAUAUAUAAGGCGGUAAAGAAAUAAAAGGACACACACACCCACACACUUUUCUCUUUUAUAUUUACAUUUGACCUAAAUACAUUCUAAUUGCUGGAAAAUAAAUAACAAUAAUUAAAAUGCUAAAAAUAAAUAAAAUAUAAGAAAAUAAAAGAAAUGGACAACCGAAGGGACAAAAAUUACCGAAGGGACUUAUUCCGAAGGGACAGAAAAAAGAGGGAGAAGAAAAGAAUAGCUCGUCAACACAAGCUAAAGAGGGAGAAGAGAGAAAAGUUCUUUGACAACUCAAGAGAACUUUUGGUGUGUGAAAUUGUGUGGAAUGAGAGCUCUAUUUAUAGGUGAGGAGUUUGAUGAAAAAAGGAAAAUUGGUUUAAUGGAAAUGAUGGACAAUUAUGUGAAUUUUGAAAAAGGAAUGUUAAAGUUGACACUUUGAUUUGAAAUUUUUUUUAGACCUUGGACAUUUUAUUUUUGGACAUAUUGACACUUUUUUUUGGACACUAAUUAAUUAAAAAGAAAUAAAAUAAAAAUAAAAUAAAUCUAAUACGAAAUAAAAAUAAAAACAAAUUAAACUAAAUUAUGUAAAGAAAAAUAAAAUUAAAAGAUGGAAAAUAAAAAUUAUUAAAUAUAAAAAAAAGUAACUUAUCUUAAAAUUAAAAUUAAUAAAAGAUGGAAAGAAAAUAAAAAAAUAAAAGAGAGCCCGACUCGGAAUAAAAAAUGAAGUAUUUUAAAAUAACUCUCUGCCGAAUUUUUUCACUGAAAAAUCAGAGAUCGAUCAGAGUCAAGUGACAUGUGUCAGUGGGGCCUUAGGUCAAAAAUUGGGGUAUGACACGACGCAUCAGCUAAGCCAAAACUCUGUUGAAAUUGUUCUCCACUUCAAAGUACACUUAGAAUUUCUUAACAAAGCUUAUAUCUUAGGAACUCUAGAGUCUGUAGAGUCUGUAUCUGAUUUGUAUUGUGAACACCACUGAUUGUAUAUCAAGUGUUCAACCUCAAACAUUUUUCUUUGCAAUUCUGUUUGAAUUCAGAAGUCUCUUGCAUUUGUGUUUGAGCAAUAGAAGGCUCUUGCAGUUGUGCUUGAGCAAUAGAAGUCUCUUGAUUGUGUUCAGGAGCAUAUGAAGUCUCUUGUAGUUGUGCUUGAGCAUUUGAAGUCUCUUACUAAGUUUAGUAGCAAACAAUUGUAAUCAGAUAUUACAUAGUGAACUCUCCUUGGAAGUGCAAGGGGGACAUGACUAACUUCCGGUUUGAGGAAGGAACCUGUAUAAAUUGCUUGUGUCUUUCUUCUCUCUCUCUCUCUCUCUCUCUCUGUUUUAUCCGUUGCAAUUAGUCUGAACAUCUCUUCAGAAGUAGAACUCUAUCUGCUUCUGAUCUGUAUUUUCAGUUAGGAGAAAAAGAAGAAAAAGCCAACACAAUUCAACCCCCCUUCUUGUGUUUUUCUCACCAUCAAUUGGUAUCUACAGCCUUGGUCUGGUAUCAAAUACUUAACAGUGUAACAGAGAAAGAUCUGAGAAAAACAUGUCUGGUGCCAGUGCAGAACCUGAAUCCAGUACGAGAAGUAGUGUUAUUCCAUAUGAUUAUGAUUUCUAUCUAGCAGGUAGGCUUUUAAGUAUCUUGCUCACAUGAUCAGAAGCUACAUAGCUUUUCUUCAGUAUUUGAAGUCCAGAAACUAGAGUCUGAAAUCUUGAGUACAUUUGCUCAAUACUUUCAUCAUCUUUCAUUUUGAACAGCUCAUACUGAUGAACAAGCAUAAGAGCCUUUGCUUCUCUGACUUUCUUACUGCCUUCAUAGUUAGCACAGAGAGAAGCAAACAUUGAUCUAGUAGUAGAUUUGUCACUCAUCUUUAUAUACUAUGCUUUAGGUAUAACUUUGACAAGUGCUCCUUUGAUUAUGUGAUGCUUCUUGUAGAGUUUCUUCUGAUCAGGAGUAUGCUUUCUCCUAUCAAUGGCAGCUCAUUCUUCAUCAACGACCAAGUCACCAAUACCAUCUUCUAGUAUGUCCCAUAGCUCUUCAUCUAAACCCAUGACAUGACUAUAGAAGUGGGUUUUCCACCCGGAAAAUUUUUCAAGAUCUCCAUUAAACUUAGGAACUUUUCCAUAGUCAGAUUUCUUGUUGCUACCAUAGUCAUAUGGAAUAGCACUACUUCUCGUACUGGAUUCAGGUUCUGCAGACAUGUUUUUCUCAUAUAUUUCUCUGUUACACUGUUAUGUGUUUGAUAGCAUACCAAGGCUCUGAUACCAAUUGAAGGUGAGAAAAACACAAGAAGGGGGGGUUGAAUUGUGUUUACUUUUUCUUCUUUUUCUCACAACUGAAAAUGCAGUUCAGAAGCAGAUAAAGUUCUACUUCUGAAGAGAUAUUCAGAACUAAUUGCAGCGGAUAAAACAGAGAGAGAGAGAGAGAGAGAGAGAGAGAGAGAGAGAGAGAGAGAAUAUAGACACAAGCAAUUUAUACAGGUUCCUUCCACAAAUUGGAAGUCAGUCCUGUCCCGCUUGCACGUCCAAGGAGAGUUCAUUAUGUAAUAUCUGAUUACAAAUGCUCACUACUAAACUUAGUAAGAGACUUCAAAUUGCUCAAGCACAACUGCAAGAGACUUCCUAUGCUCCUGAACACAAUCAAGAGACUUAUAUUGCUCAAGCACAACUGCAAGAGACUUCUGAAUUCAAACAGAAUUACAAAGAAUAUUGUUUGAAGUUGAACACUUGAUAUACAAUCAGUGGUGUUCACAAUACAAAUCAGAUACAGACUCUAUAGACUCUAGAAUUCCUAGGAUAUACGCUUUGAUAAGAAAUUCUAAGUGAACUUUGAAGUGGAGAACAAUUUCAAUCGAGUUUUGACUUAGGUAAUGCUUCGUAUUGUUCCUGUGAAACUUUGAGUCUUCACUCCUUUAUAUAGAGGUGUGAAAGAGACGUUGAAUUGCCAGCACAUUCAAAAUAGAGUCGUUUGAAGCUUUUGAUCAAUCACCAAUGAUCCUUUGCCUGAUAUGGUUAUUGUCCUAUGAAGGAUCAAUUUCAAAUGUGUUCCCAAUGUGAAGAAACAUUGUUGGAGGCAGAGCUGUUAUUCUUGUCUUGUAAAAGAGACAAAAAUAGAGUAGUGGAGAUAGUGGUUGUACACUUCGUAAAAACGUACUAUGUCAACGCUCUUUGAAAAAUAAGCAUCCAAUGCUUUUCAAUCCUUCCAAAAUAGCCGUUGCUAUACUUUUCCAGUCUUCUACAAUCUUAGGCGAGUUUGAAUCCUUGAAACAGCUUUUGAGGCUUUAAGUUGCAUCUCCUGAUGAACUGCAACUUCUGGUGAUUCACAGCUUCUGAUGAACUUGCUUAUGCUGAACUUGCUUCUGAUGAUGUCAUCACUUUAUGAGCACUUUGUCUUCAGGAGCACUUCAUCAGCCUCAUCUCAACUUGCCCAGGAUUUGAUUUGCAUUGGGCAGAGCCUACUUUGCAGAAUCGGACGAAGCUACAUAUUUCCUGAUCAUGCUAGCGGUGUUGGCUAGCGAAGGUUUUGAUAGAGAUGGUAUUUUGUUCAUCUUUCAUGAUCUCUUUGUUCGUCAACGUCUGGCUGAUUGUAGGGACGUCAUCAGUGCUGAUGACUUUCUUUUUGUCUGGAACCAACUUGAGUUGGGGUCAAUGCCCCCUGGUUUGGUAUGUAGGUUCACUUGUAAUUCCGAAGGGGCUUGCGCGUUGAGUAACAGGAUCAACAAUGCCCAUCUACCAUCUCCAGGUGCAGAUGAAGAUUACGACAUGGUUAACAUUUGCAUCUCUUGUCGUCUUGACGUCGAGCUUGCCUGGUUCUUAGAACAUUUCAGAUUUUAGAUCUUUACUUCUUGUUGUAAGGCUCUAAUAACCAUUCUGUUACGUGUCGAAUGAACACGACUAGGUUUGACCAUUUUGGUUUUUCCGGCUUAUUGUAUUUUGACCCAGUAGUUGGUCUUGUACUGUUUAAUCAAUCUAAAGUCGAAAUAUUUCUUUCUUUUGUCAAAUUUCCGUCUAUCUUCUUUGCUUAACCGAUUUCAAUUAUAAUUAAAAUGAUCCAUCAAAACCAAAAUCUAUUGAAAAUUGUUGUUGACACUUCAAAUUAGGCUAAAACAAUGAAAGUCAUUUCCCACCGGAUGAAGUUGGUUACAUGGAUUGAACAACACCGUUACCCCGAUAUCUAAUCAAGUUCAACAACUAAUUAUAAACAAAACUCAUGCUCCUACCAAGCCAAAUUCACUAGACAAUUACUCCAAAAAGUAAGUGUUUAUCAAUACUUCUUGGUUCAUCUCUGGGUUUGUUAUUAUGAUGGAACAAAUUUGCUAAAAAGACAGAAUAUCGUUUACUUUUAGUCCAAAAAAAGUUUAUAUGUUUGUUAUUAGAAUUUGAAGAUAAAAAAUAUAAAAACGGCUACAUAUGAAAAGUUGUUUUGAGAGUCCCUUUCUUGUAAUUUAUUUUGCAGCGUUAAGACAAUUUUGGUAAAAGAUGAUGGGAAUAUUGCAUUUGGAGUUAUGAUUUAUUGAUUGUGAUGUUUCCAUUCAAUUGAAAUUUUGUUAGCAACAUGCCUUUGUGCCUCUUCAGUUGUACUAUCUUGGUGUUCAUUCAUGUAACAAUCAAGAUAUGAUCCAUCAAGACCGUUUUGAUAUAUACUAUGCCUUGACCGUUUUGAUAUCCACAAAUGUCUUGACGUGCUUUCUAAAUGUCAGAAACCAAACUUUCAACAUAAACCUUGGCAGAGAACCAUUGUAUUUCAUCGAUAAUUCUAGUCCGCUUUGCUGUAUUAUUCCUCAAAUUAUAUAGAAUUGCUCGUUGUUCUUGAUUAUUAGCCAAUAUUAGUGUAUCGUUGUGAUCCGAAAGGUGCAAUGGCAACAAUUGACAUUUUUCCAAGUCAGCAAAAUCAUGAUAUCUAGUCCGAAGAUUUUGGUAGCUAAUUUUAAGGAGUUAAGUCCACGGCUCUUUAACUCCAAAUGUUUUCAUCUUCCAUAUAAUGAAUUCAGUUCUUUUGUAAUCAUGAGAAAAACACAAGGAGUCUUUCAAUAUACAUAAAGAUGGCAGCUUAAUAGAUGACAUUUCAUCCAAACCAAAGGGAGGCAUCAACUGCGUGUACAACUCUGUUCCCAUACUCAUCGCAUUCGCAUAAGAGAUUUCACAUUGGAAAAGGAAAGGAUUUCGGCGAUAAGGUCGUAAGAGAGGCUUACCGGAAACUCUGCGUUGGGUUGAGCACUUGAAUUAGUUGGAGGAUUACUCAAACUUGACAGAGUCACGAAGCGAUGCUGGUGGAUGAAAGCAGCCAGCGGCGGUGUAGUCUAUUCACGACUUGUGGAUGAAAGGCAUAAUAAGUGCUCUCAAGUAAUUUCAAUUAUAGAUCAUCUUUAGGUCUAAUAUUAAUAUAAGAAACAGAAUAAUUAUCAGAGGAACAUUUAUACCAAUACUUUCAAUCAUGGAAAGUAGAUAACACCAAGAUUGAGAUAAAAAAAAGUGAAAAAAUGAAAGACGGUAAUCUUCAUUGUAAAAACAAGAAAAAAGGAAGAAAAAUUGAGUUUUUAACAUGUAUUACACAAUAUUGGGAAAAAUAAAAACACGACAACAUAAAGUACUCAACAGUCAACACAUAAGCUUAUAAUAAAUGACUAAAUUGAGUUUUUAAGCAAAUCUAUCCAUUUUAAGCACACUUCAGUCUCUUAAUAAAUAAGGAGCCUUAUUUUUUACCAAUCAAAUUGAUAGUGUAAGCAAGGGAAGUUGUUGAGAUGAGUUGCUAUAACAAUAACAUUAAUGCAAACAGAUGAAAGAGAUAUAUAUACAUAUGUAAACAGACCGUGAACAACUCUAACUUUCUAUGAUUCCAACAAAUUUUAUAUGUCUUUAAAAUGGUAGAAAAUGAUUCCAUUAAGUAAGAAAGAAAGACGAUAUAGGACCUUGAAAACGACGAACGAGCUCCAAGAUAUGCAACCAUGUGUGAAUAGGUAGGAGAACAGUGUACAGAGUUGACGAAGUAAUGACCUCCAAGAUCUGAAACACGUUUGUCACAAGGUUGAAGAACGAUGUGAACAGUGCAUAUGGUUUGAUAGUUGAUACCGAGUGGAAGAAUGUGAGUUCAUGGGAGAUCAAAUAAAAAGAAACAAGAUGAGAGAGUAUAGGAGAAAGAAAACAGUGAAAGUAUUGGUAUAAAUGUUCCUAUAUGAUAGGUGUGUAUGGAAUGGGUGGAUGUGGUGAGAAGGCCUAGGAAUCAAAUAUGUUCGACAAGGUAAUAUCUAUCACAGCGUCUCAAACUCAAAAUAUUAGAGACAUUCAUGGAAAAAUGGCAGACAUGUUAAACUUGAAACUCAAUGAAGAAAGCGAAGAGGGAAGAGCACAACGGUUGUGGUUGAGUUUGACAGAAAAUAAACGAAUUCUUGUUAUAGUAGAUGAUUUAUGGAAUAUCCUUGUAACCACUCGUAAUCAGCAAGUAUGCACUUCAAUGGACUGUCAAAAGAAUAUUCAUCUAGAGCUUUUAUCUAAAGAUGAAUCCUGGACUUUGUUCCAAAAGCAUGCAAAGAUUACUGACAAGUUUUCCAAGUCAAUGGAUGGUUUGCCACGAGAACUCUGCGAUAAAUGUAAGGGACUGGCCCUAGCUAUUGUAACUAUGGCGUCUUGCUUAAAAGGAAAGCAUAAAAGUGAGUGGGAUGUUGCACUACAUAAGAUGAGGAAUUCAUCGGCAUUUGAUGAUCACGACGAAGGAGUGAGAAAUGCUUUGAGUUGUCUUGAACUAAGCUAUAAAUAUUUACAAAACAAGGAAGCAGAGUUGCUCUUUUUGUUGUGUUCUAUAUUUCCAGAAGAUUGCAACAUAUCGACCGAUGAUUUAAUCCUAUAUGCAAUAGGACUAGGUUGGAGGAAGAUCUCCACUGAAGUUAUCAAGGAGUUUGGUUCAAGACGGCAUAAACAAGCUUUUAGAAUCAUGUUUGCUGAUGCCGGCUAAAGACAUGCAACGUGUGAAGAUGCAAGACAUGGAUAUAUAAAAUACUUUCAUAUAUCUUUUCGGAUCCUAUGCUGAGAGACCAAAGUUUGUUUACGUUGACAUAUAUGGAACAUUCGAUCCAUGUCACAUUGUUAACCUGCUGCAUCUCAACCUACUGCAACAACUACUCAAGAAGGCACAACCUUAACUAUUAGUGUUAUAAAGAGUGCGUCAAAAUGAAUGUUGCUCGCAUUAUUAGAUGCUUAUCUGUUGAAACAAAGAACUAAAAAUACAAAUAAUGGAAGAGCAAAGAACUAAAAUCCAUGCAAAAAUUCAAGUGUAUAUAAUUAGAUGCUUAUCUGUUGAAAUAUCAGCCUACUGCUUCAUGGUCAGUUUCUUGGCUAUACUUGUGUGUGUUAUUAUUAAAGAUUAAAGAUAGGAAAAAACAAAUCUUAACUAUUAAUUUCAGAUUUUGUAAUCCUUAUCAAAAUAAUCUUAACUAUUAUUAAUAGUAAAUCUACUUCAGUAUCUAUCACUAUUAUCACUAUUAUAAACUAAAAUGUGAAAACGUGUUCGCCUAUGGUUCAAAAACUUGAUUUUCUUUUUGUAAAGAAAAUUAAUUUUAAUUAGAAAUUUUGAAACAUAAAUCAUUAAUAAAAAAAAACUUUAUGAAAACUUUAAACCCCAUAUAAAAGAAGUGCAUCAAGAAAUUCAAUAAGAAUGUAAACCAUAAUACCCUGUAAUAUGUUUAAUUUGAUAUUCUCCUUGAUUUGGUGUUGGAACCAAUGAAGGGAUUAUUGAAAAUUUGAAAUAAAUAUGAUACAAUACAACUACAAGUAGGGUAAACAAGUUUGCUUGUAAAAUCCAAUUAUUUGCUUAUCCUCUAUUACAAGACUUCAAGUCAGAACUGGAUAACAAGCACCCCUAUAUGCAAACUAUUUCUUCUUUGGAUUAUGGGGAAUUUUUCGGUUCCUUGAUCUACCUUUUCGGGAGGCAGCAACGCUAGCUAUUACAUCAUUACCGGCAAUGAGUAAAGCGCUCAAACCCAUUAGCUUCAACCCGAGGUUUUU
rnacentral:lncRNA from 1 species